rnacentral:lncRNA from 1 species
GUUCCAUGAAAGGUGAAACUUACAGAUGGAAUAAUUUUCCCCAUGAAUGGAAAAAGGCUGACAUAACCAAUAUGAGGAACAAGUCUUGCUACUGGCCUUUCUAGUACAUCACGAACAAGCUCUCGAGUUCCCACCCUUGUCUCUUUCCAACUUAAACGAACCUAGAAUGCUCAAAGCAAUGUUUAGCAUCAGUGAGAAAAUUUCUUAAGAAAGAGAUGCUAUGUUCAACUGUACAAGAGCAAAAUAUUGAUUCCAACAUGGCAUGCACCUCGCAUAACAAAAAUGCCCAAGGAUUUAGCUAAAGUCAAUCAUUACAAUGGGAGCAUGCUACAAUUCUAAGCCUGUAAUUUUAACAUCUUCAUAAAAUAUAAUGGCAGAACUAGCAAAUUGUUGUCCGGCACCAAUCAGAAUUUGACUUGAAGAAAAAAAAUUAGAGCAUUCAUCCAGGAGGAUGAGCUCAAGAUGUUUUUCAAGUUUAAUUAAAUAUUAUCCUCAGAGUAACUUGAUAGACAACAUAGAUGAUACUGAUAUAUUGAGGAGAAUAUAAAUAACUACACCAAUAAGCAAAUCUGAGCAUCAUUGACAUGUAAUCCAGUGUGUCAGUGAACAUACAUUAGAGGUACCAAAUUCUAAGAAAACAGAAACAAAGGAGCGUACCUUUUCUGUAUGAUUCCCAAAAUCAAAAUAAGCUCCAACCAAAGGAUCAAGGUGCAUCUGUACAACAUUAAGCAUGUAGGAUAUAAAGAAACAGGAAAUCCCAGCAAUAAAAAAAUAUCUCACAAGUAUUAUGCAGUACCAGUUGAGUAGCAUUAGCAGAAAAGGAAUGAAAUGCAAUAUACAAACCUGAUUCAGCAUGUCAAAAUCUGAAAGUAGCUUAGCUGUUGAACCAUAUUCCUGCAUUCAAAUGCUCAAGGACUAUAAAGAGUGAAUUUGAUUUUAAAUUUUAACAAUGUUCCAGAUAACUAGUCUCCUAGGUUACCUUUUCAGGCUUAUUAUCCUUCUUAAACAACUGAGUAAUGGACUGCAUGCAAUUUGCAGCUAGAAGCAUCCAACACCUAAGAUCCAAGUGUCGUUCUUCGUCACUUGGGUGUGAAGCACGAGGAUAAUCAUCCAGACCAGAGGAAAGUGUCUAGAGGACAGAAAUAAUGUCAGACUACUGUUGUUGAUGGGAAGAAACAGCAGCAUAGCUACUAGCAAUUACACCACGUAAACUUAGAAACCACCAUGCAUAAUAUUUGCAUAAAUUUGAUAAUCAUAGUCUCAACUUCUUUGACUCCAAAGGGAAAAAGUAGGGAAAUCAUACAUUAGUUCUUAAAAGAUAGGGCCCUGGGAAAAAAAAACCCUAAAUCCUCAAAGUUUCUUAGUGGUUUCAAUUAAGCUCUUUCUUCCAAUUCCAUUGGUAACGGUUAACAAUCUGUUAAGAACAAAAAUGCCAGACACCUGCCAUAUCACUUUAUUUGACAUCUUUAAAGCUAAAAAUUAUUGAAAACAUUUUUUUUUAAGUCCUACCUAUGCAUUUUUUAAAAGAAAAGGAAAAAUAGUUAUUUUCUUAUUGUCUUCAUCUUCCAUAAAUCUCAAGUUUACCUCCUUUUAUUCUAAUCCAGAUCUAUGGUUUCUGCUGUUGAUAUUUUAGUGAAAUCAAGCUUUCUCUUUGGCUUUAUGUUCCCCUUUCUUUUCUUGUAACAUACAUUAUGCUUCUAUUUAUUGUUUGUUUCUAUUGUUGAUUUUUCUGUUGUUAGUUUUGUUUUUAAUACAAUUCUCAAUCUCUUGUGUACUGUUACCGCUUGAAUUUAAUGUGUGACAAGCCCUUUACCAUAACAUGAUUUCCCAACUUCUUUCAUGAUUCUUCCCCUACAGAUACUUUAAAGAGAACACGAGGAUAAGGGAAGCCAGUCAUCAGAGAAUUAUCUCAUUUGCAAACAUUAAUGCAAAAGGCUCUGUAAAUGGUACAAGUGGCUAUCUGUUGGACAAUUUGAAAAGACAGGGAAGAGCAAAUGGUUUCAAAUUUCUAUUUUCAGAGAGAAGUCAGACUAGCUCUUGGCAAUUCUUUGUUUAAUUGUUAUUAGCUCUUUAUAUAAUUCCUUCAAAUUGAGAACAUUUUCAUGUUGGUUUAUAAAAGAUGAAAUAAUAUUGUCCUCUAGUAAAAGCUAGAAGUGUGAGAGUUCAGGGUUUUUUUGAAAAGAAAAGUUCAGAUAAUUUUCCUGCCUGAUUUAAUUUUAACAAAAUAGAAAAAUUCACUUUAAACAAUUCUUUUCUCUAAUUUGUAUUUUUUUCACUUUCAACAUUUUUCAGCCAAUUAAUUGGAUACUGUGCAAGCAUUUCUCCAUCUUCUAACGAUGCACAUGAGUUGUACCAUUUGUUAUCAUGUUUUUACAAUGAAGUUGAACAUAAGAGCAUAAUUGAAACUACUAGGAAAUAGGGGCCCAAUUGAAUUCUUCUGAAACUCCAACUGUCACCACUAUAAUCUUUAGGGCUUUUUUGUACUUUUCAAAAAGAAAACUGUAAACUCACCUUUGGGUUUAGUUCCCGAGUUACUUUGUUGUCUCUCCCAUGCCAAUAAUAGCUGCCCAUCUCUUUCCCUGCAUCCACAAAUAUAAAACAAGUAAAGUAAGCACCUUAAUUUUAAAAAAGUGUGUUAGUAUACAUUUCAGGCUAAGGGCAUAUUUAUCUUUCUUUUCCAUCAACAACUAAGCUGAGCAGCAAUUUAUAGAAGCAUGUAAUUGUUGUUAUAGUUAACUGGGCAGGGGAGAAAGUAAAUAACAAAUCCUUAUGCCAACCUUUUUUGGUUGUGUACUAAUCUCUCUCAUGAUCUGACAGCUGAUUUUUUAUUUACAGUUAACACUCAUAAAAAACCUCCAGCUGCUUAAACCAAUUCAAAACUCUGACAUAAAUUAAUACAGUGCAGAAUUGAUAGCUGUAGAAAAAUGGAAUACCUUUCUGCGUUGUGUUGUACCACUGGAACCAAGCUUCCAAGCGAACAAAAGCCCGUUCAAGGAAGGAAGUGAUCCCAUUUCUUUCAGUGGCAGUGAACUUAUUUUUCUCCAUCCCAUCAAGUAGAUCUGGAGAUGGCAACACCACGCAAUCAUCUUUAAACAAUUUGACUAUAAGUGCACAUAGAAAAACAUUUACCAAAUAAUUUAAUCUUUGGCAAUGAUCUGAAAGAACAUGCACAUCAUAAAUUAUAAGAAAAUGAAAAGAAGUUGUUUGAACCACCCCAAGAUUUAGCAAACGAGACAGAAGAAAAUAAGUUUCUUUAUAGUUACAUGAUUUGUAAAGGAAGAUGGCGCCUCGUUAAACUAGAAGACUUUUCUUGCUAUUUAGAAAGAUAGGUGUUGCUCUCUGCCUUAAGACUAGCAGAGCUAAAGCAAUUCCAUCACACAAGAAAGACGCGUGCAAAAUUUGUACAAUACGGUGAUGAAAAUGUAAUUGCAAAUAACCUUACCACGAAUAACCAAAAAUAGGGUGGGGGGAUUUCCAUUAGAUGGAUACUGAACAACAAAUUCCUCUGGAACCUUACUGCAAUUACAACAGAAAAGACAUUGCAAAAUUACUUCAAGGAUGAAUGUGGCAAAUAAUCUCUCCAGCCAAAUUUUAGGAUUUUUUUUAAGGACACAGCCAAGCUUUAAGAUUUAAAUUCACUUCAAAAUAUUUGAACAAUACAAUUAUGACACCUUAGAGCUUCAGAACCCAAAAUCUGCUCACGUGGAAUCCAUCCAUCUAUGUUCAUUAAAUCUAACCAGUGACCAAUAAUAUCCAAACAAAUAUGGAUAUCCCAUCGCCUGCUCGUGCCCAAAAAAAUUAUUAGUUAGCCCAACAGCAAUACAAAUUAACUCCAUACUGUAAUAGGAAAUUAGACCUGACCAGAUCAACAGUUGAUGAAAACCUUCAUCCCAUAAAAAUCCCCUUGGAAAGAAUGGUCGGCUUGGAACAGCUGUAUACAGCUCAGCUGGCCAAUAUGAAAUAAAAUUAUCAUGUCCUCUGAGCUGCAAGGAAAAUGGCCAAUUGUAUGACUUUGCCAGACAUAAAAAAAUAUGACAGGGAUCAUACAUAAAAAAGAAACAGUUAGGAUGAAAAGAAACAGUCAGGCUGGAUGAAAUAUGAAUGCAGAAAAACAUCACUUUAACAAGAUAAGUGUAGAAGAAAGAGAGCUACUGGCAUCUAAUGAACUGAUAUAGAUAAUGCUUACUCAUAAUUUAAUAUUUCUUUCUUACUACCAGUCCACGCACUACAUGGCACAUGGAAUCCUAACUGCAAAGACAUGAACAAGUACACUUAACAUAAGUCAGACCCAUAUGAGCACUGAUUUUAGCAUUUCUAAGACAGUGAAAGACUUCUCCUAUCAAAUAGUGCCCUUAUGUCACAAUUUUGGAUUAAAUGUGACACUCUAAAAAGCCUUUUCGUAUCAAAUUGUGCUUUUAGAACAACUGCAGCAAUUUUGAAAGCAAAAGGAGUAGCCAAGUUAAACAACUAAGAACCGGAACCUUAAGAAGUAUUCAACUUGAGACAUGAAUCAGCACUCGAAACACAGAGAGUAGGUUUAUGCUAUUAAUGAACAACAGGAUUUUAAAUUGAGCAUUUAACUACUACACACUUAUUAAAGAGAUUAUAGGAUGCACUAUAAAUAGAAAAUAAAAAACAAAUGCAUACAACUUACAUUAGAAUUUUCAGGGAAUGAAAUCUUUGACUGACCAUAAAAGUAGCCAAUGCCUCCCAACAUGUUAGCAAUAGCAGCCUUACCAACAAUUGUGGAUUCAGGUUCAAGCUGAGCAAACAAUUAGAAGAAGUCAGAAUUCUUUUAAUUCAAAGGAAAUAUAUAUUUGGGACUUUACAGUUGCCACUUCAUCAUAAUCCUAAAAAAAAAACUUCUUCAAUGCCAGCAAAUAAUGUCUAUAGCCUAGUGAAAUGCAUGCUUUAUUGUGCAUAGGAUAACAUUUUAGUAUUCAUCAAUUAGUGCUGUACGCUUGCAAAUUUAUCCAAUGAAAUCAGAGGAUAUCUCUUUUAACAUUAUGUCCUCCUGCAUAAGUGAGAAGAUCCCAAAAGAUGAGCGGGUGCUUGUAAAAGCUUUGAAGUUUAUAGAAGGAGAAAGGAUUUGAAAGAGACAUGUGCAACAUUUCAAGAGUCGCUUUUGGAAGAAAGUAAGAUAAACCACUCAAAUAAGAUAUUCCAGGAAGAGUGAUGAAGAAACCAUUAAGAAAGAGGAAACAAGGUCUUAGAUAGGCUCCACAUCCACUUACAACACCAUGAGCACUCACAAUUAAACAAGAUGCCAAAAUUGCACAAGAUUUUUCAGUUAUUGAAUUUGAAUCAUUUUAACUCCUACAUUCAUUAUUCCAAAAUGUAUUCAAAAUUGAAGUACAUCAUAACAGAGAAUCAUGACAACUCUUAUAACACAUCACCUACAUGACAAUGAAAAGGACAUCUAGUAGUAGCAAAGCACUCAUUGCUGAGCAUGAUUAUAAAAUUUGAGAAAUAGAACAUGUUGUACUUUCCCUAGAUAUUUACCUUGUCAGCAACAUUAAAGCAGCGCUCAAAUUUGAUAUCAAACUCUGUUUGCCUAUCUUGUAAUAAACUUGUCAGCGAGGCACCUGAACAGUACAUAUAAAAAUAAGAAUUUUUUAUGGAAAAUAUAGAAGUCAUGUGUAAUAAAGGAUGCCAUAAGAAUUAUAAUUAUGCAAUGACAAUAGAUCACCCUACAUUACUAGGAUUCUCUACUUUCCCAGUUUGUCAGGACAAAGAAUCCCGUACAGGAAGUGGUAAGAAUUAUAAUACAACUAAGAGAAAACUUCAAUGGUUAGGAGUGAAGGACAUUUUUUUUAUGGAGAUGGAAUUGAUAUGGACAAAACCUGUAAGCCUGCUCACACGUUCUUCUACUUUUGAAGUUUUCACUUUGGUUCCAGAUACAAAAGCAAUAUCUGCUUUGAAAGGAAUACUUGCAGAAAUCUGCAAGAUUUAGAAAUCUAACGUGAUGUAGAGUCCCCUGUGUUUUAGGACAAGAAUUAUGAUGAGCACGCAAUACCUGAAAAACUAGAAUGUUCGGAGAAUCUUCAGACGAGUCAGAUAGAAGCAGUUGGCCAAACUUUCUUGCCUGGCAAGAUGCAGCAAAGCAACACAGAGAAAUCAAGACAAACCAGAAUAGGAACUCAAAACAUGCACACUUCCUUUAAGAUAUUAGACACCAAGGUAUUUUUCAAUAAAAAAUUAAACAGUGCAAUACUUGGGCUCCGAGAUUUUGCUGGACAAGAUCAGAUAAAUUGUGAAUAUGAGGUGUCCUGAAACCAGAAUAGUGGAGCUCCAAAACAUCCUAAAAAACAACAAAGUUGGCUCCAGAUCAAGACUCAAGAUAAAACGAAACAACAUCACUAGACAAUUAACAGUUGCAAAUGUUAUGACAAGGAAAAACGAAGAUUGGUGAUGCAUAAUUCAGAAAUCAAGGUGAGAGAUGAUAGCUGCCAAUCCAUUUCCAUAUUACCUUGGAUUCCAAAUGUAGCUGCCAAUCCCCAAUAUCAGAUCGUGAACCUGAUGCUAAAAGAGAAUUCUUAUCGAUGUCAAAGGUAUCUCCUGCCAAAUUUAGGACAUGUCCACUUUCGUCAGCCAAAUAGAAGAACAAAUGCCCAUGUCUCAGCAUUUCAUUAUCCCACUCGGAUCUACAAAAUCACCAUGAGGAACACAAAAUGCAUCAGGAAGCUUAAGAAACCAGCUACCAGAAUUUUCUCAUUUAAACACUCCAUCCACCUAGUGGCAAAAAAACACACAUAGAACGCACCAUACAAAUUGAACAGAGAAAUCAUUCAAGUGACGAGUAAGGCCAAUUACUUAUCAGUUUGCACAUCAAUUUGAACGGCCCAAUCACCUCCAUAUCCACUUCCUUCACUCUUGGAUUUCAAGAAACUCGUAGCUAACUUCAAUCCCUGAUCAACCAACACCUGAUGUCCAAAAUCACGACCAUUAUGCUGCGUCCAGCCAUACGUUUUAAGCUCAUCAGAGUCUUGACACACAUGUCGCAUAUGAUACACCCCAUCCUUCACACCAAUCCACAUCAAUCCAGCUACCAAAGACCGAGGAGUCCUGCCAACCAAUUCCGCAUCCACCAUUUCCAAUUCAAGAAUUAUAUGCACAAUGGAAUAGCCUAAAAACGCUAAAUAAACUAAAUAAAUUAGAAAGUAAUUAUCACAUAAUUAAUUACCUUGCGCGAAUUCCAAAAUAAACAUGAGGGCGAUAAGUUCCCCAAUAUAAGCUCUCUCUGUGCUCUCCUUGAAACUGAAACCAUGAGAAAUUAUUCUAAUCAACAAAAAGUAAAUUACAAACAUAAGGAAAUUAGUUGAGGAAUCAAUUACUACUUACUUGAGGAAGGUCCAUGAGUUUAGGAGAAGGAAAUGGAGUGAUAACCCUAGGUCUUAGUGCUUUUCCAGCAGGCUUUAUAAUAAUUUUAUUAAUCAACAAAAAAAUUACGAAGAAAGCCAAUACGCUAAUUCCUAGCAUGAUUUUGAUAUCAACGUUCAAAAUCCGAAUCGAAUUCUGGUUUUUAUUUCUAUCUCUCCGUAUAGGUUUUGUGUUUCCAAAAGAAUUGUCGCCUCCGUCGUUUGGUUCGGCGGAGGACGACAUUCUGCUUCGCGCAUUCCUCCGGCUACUGCCUGGAGUCAUUUUCUGCUUCUUCUUCGUCUUCUGUUUUUUUCUCUUUUUUCCACUGACUUAUAUUGAAGUCAGUUCAGUUCAGUCCUGAAAGUAAAGAUCUGGGUCCUGGGUCAAAGGAAAAUGGGUAUGGACUCUGACCGAGAGUUUAAGCCCAUCAUCUAAAAAGAUUUAUAAGCCCAGGGAUAUGAAAGAUUUCCAUUCAUGACGUUGCAUUAUGCUUUUAUCAACUACAACUUUACAUAAAAUAUUGUAUAUGUAUCCAUGAAAUUUUGUGUAUAAAAUUUUAUUUAUUUACAUAAAAUUAGAAAUACAUACAUACAUAUAUAUAUAUAUAUAUGCACACACUUGAUUGUUCGGAACAAUUAGUAUGUGCGUUAAUUUAAUUGUAUUUAUAAUUUAAUGGUAAAUUAACGCACAUACUAAUUGUUCCAAACAAUCAAGUGUGUGCAUACACACACACGAACAAUUAGUAUACAAUUUUCAUUUUUUUUAUGUUAGCAGAAUAUGAUCUGGUAAGUUUUUUUUAAUAAAAAAAAGUACAAUUAGGCCAAUUAUAAAGCACAGUUCAAGCCUCCCUUUUAUAUGAUUAGAAAGGCCAGAUCUUACGGAUUAAUUAUAAUGAUUUUCUUGAUUUUUCUACUUAUAAAUAAUAGUAUCAUUGCCAUUACUCGACUGAUGUACUGUUUUUCAACGGCCAUACACUUGUAAUAGUCAUCUUCACUUCGUUGUUGACUUAUGGAGUGCGUAAAUGCUGACAGCUUAUCUCAUCUAUGUGCAUACCAGACGCCACCUUCCUCGUCGUCAUAGUCUAUAAAAACAUUUUCAUUGAGAGGUCUUUGUGUCAGAACGUUUAUGGCGAAAGAGAGAACCUGCUUCCCGCUUUCAUUUCUGAAUUUCCUUUCCUUGUUUUCAAAGCUUGUUUCCCUCGAAGCUACUAAACUGAGUCCCAAUUCCAGCAUUUCCAACGCUGCCGGAUGCGUUGAGCUUGAGAGGAAAGCACUUCUUAGGUUCAAACAAGGUCUUAAAGACAGGACAUGUCAAUGAGCUUCAUCUUGGGUUGGCAAAGAUUGCUGUGAUGGUCCGGGCUAGGCUGCAGCGAGCAGACAGGACAUGUCAUUAAGCUUCAUCUUCAAAAUCCAUACAAUUCUACCUUUAUUGAUCCUGGUGAUCCAACAGAGUUAGCGGGUUUUAAGUUUUCAUGCUUAAGCGGUAAGAUAAGCCUUUCUUUGCCUGAGCUCAAGUACUUAAAUCACCUGGAUUUAAGUUGGAACGAUUUCCAAGGAAAAACAAUCCCAGAAUACAUUGGUUCACUCAGUGAGUUGAGUUAUCUUGAUCUCUCUGGUGCAUCGUUUUCUGGACUAGUUCUCCCUCAUCUUGGAAAUCUGUCAAACUUCCGUUAUCUAAAUCUGUAUUCUGAUUCCUACCAGUCAUCUGUUAUUGAUAAUACUGAUCCCUAUUAAUACAUUUGUUUCUGAUCUGAAUCUGAUCACUAGACUCUCUUGUUUGGAGUACCUGAAUCUAGGAUACGUUAACCUUAGUUUGGCGUCAGAUAUUUGGGCAAGUUGCUAAUAUGCUUCCUUCUCUGUCGCAAUUGCAUCUGUCGAGAUCUAAAAAGAAACUUUCUUGAUUCUCUUCCAACAACGAAUUUAACUGCUCUUCGCAUUCUUCGCCUUGGAUAUAAUAAUUUCAGCAAUUUUUUGCCUCGCUGGUUGUCCAAUAUUAGUACUCUCGAGGUCCUCGACCUUGGUAUUUCUGGAAUGAAAGGCCCCAUAGAUCAUAUCUCCUGGAGAAAACUUUGCAAACUGCAGCUUUUAUAUCUGUCAAAUAAUGAUAUUAGUGGUGAGACAGUUGAUCUUGUUGCGGGUCUGUCUGGAUGUGGUAAUGCUAGUUUGGAGGCAUUACAACUGGUAGGUAAUAAAUUGAGUGGACAGAUACCUGAGUCAAUUGGACAUUUCAAGCAGUUGAGAUCUCUAUAUCAUCAGAGCAACUCCUUUUCCUGUUCAAUUCCAUCAUCUAUUGGAAUUUUGAAUGAUUUAGAGACAUUAGAUUUGAGUUCCAAUGCAAUGAACGGGAGCUAUCAAAAUUAGUUUCUAUGAAUCUUAAAAUGGAAUUCUUAGAGAGGUAUUGUGUCUGAAACUCAUUUCUUGAGCCUUGCAAAGUUGGAGAGAUUCUAUUAGAAUGUCUCUAGCUAUCAAGAUAAGAAAUGAGAGGUUCCUCUUUUAGCCUUCAAGACAUUGAAAUUGUUGAUUGCCAUUUGGGUUCCACAUUUCCUCAAUGGCUAAGCACUCGGAAAGGCCUUUCCAUUCUGACCUUGAAUAAUGCAGCAAUUUCAGGCAAGAUUCCUAAUUGGCUUGGGAAAUUAUCUCCCCAACUUUUUUUUUGCAGGAUCUCUCUGGUAAUCAAUUUGGGGAAAUCCCCAGUUCAUUAGAAUUUAGAUCAGGUGCUUGGGUUGAUUUGAGUUCCAAUUUCUUGGAGGGUUCAAUCCCAAUUUGGUAUAAUGUGAGUGUACUAAAUUUAAAGAGUAAUUUGUUGUCAGGUCCCAUCUCUCUGAAUUUCUGUCAAGAAAUGUCAUCGUUAACGGGCCUAAACCUUUCUGGUAACUCACUUAAUGGUAACAUUCCCCCAUUCAUAACCAGCCUAAAGAAUUUGGGAACACUUGUUCUUUCAAAUAAUCUUUUCUGGAAAUAUCAAUAUUCCUUGGGAGGAAAUGAGUUUGAGUCACCUUGACCUGUCCAGAAACAAUCUGUUUGGGGACAUUCCUGAUUCAAUUUGUUUUUCACCCUACCUUCAAGUUUUGAAAUUGUUCAGCAACAACUUCUCUGGAGAACUCUCCCCGUCCUUACAAAACUGCACAGGUUUGAUCCUUUUAGAUGUUGGGGAAAACAGGUUGUCUGGAAGUAUAACAGAGUGGGUUGGGGAUAAUCUAUCUAUACUGUCAGCGUUACUAAGAGGCAACAUGUUCAGUGGAAACAUUCCUGAGCAACUAUGUCGCCUCCCUCAUCUCCAUAUCUUAGAUCUAGCUCAUAAUCAUUUAUCCAGUUAGAUUCCAACAUGUCUUGGCAAUUUAAGUGGCUUGCAAGCUCCAUCUUUUUAUGAGCAGGAUCCUCCAGACUUCACUGUUUCCUAUCGUCAGAGUAUGGAUUUGAUCGUGAAGGGAAGACAACUUGAGUACAACCUCACACUUGGCAUUGUAAAUGUCUUAGACCUGUCAAGUAAUAACUUAAAGGGAGAAACUAAGAGAUAAUUAAUCUCACUUACCUGGGUACCUUGAAUUUGUCUUGGAAUCAAUUGACUGGAAAGAUUCCUGACAAGAUUGGAAGCCUACAACGGUUAGAAACUCUUGACCUCUCAAAUAACCAUCUUUCAGGUCCGAUUCCUCCGAGCAUGUCUUCCAUGACUUUCUUGAAUUACUUGAAUCUGUCAUACACUAACUUAUCAGGACCAAUUCCAUCAACCAACCAAUUCCAAACCUUCAAUGAUCCAUCUAUAUACAAAGGUAACUCUCAGCUUAGCGGGUCUCCAUUACCAACCAACUGUUCAGCACCAGAAUUCAAGGAUGAUGAGGUCGAGGAUGGAGAUGAUGGUGAAAUGCUGUGGUUUUACUUAGGCAUGGCAGCAGGAUUUUCCGUAGGGUUUUGUGUUUUUUGUGGGACAUUGGUAAUGAAGAAGUCUUGAGAUGUGCCUAUUUCCAGUUCGUGGACGGAACGAAGGACGAAAUAUUUGUGGCCAUUGCUGUGUGUGUAGCUCGUUUAAGAAGAUAGAGCACAAGAUGAUGAGCUCCUGCUAAUAAGAACACAGGUAACAUAUGCCAUUUUUAUUCCGCUUUUCUUUUCUAAAAUUUUUCACUUUGCAUUUUAUGUUCUAACAUUCAUGGUUAUUGUGGCAACGCAGUCAAUGCAGUUCAUUGGCUAAACAUGAGGAACCAUGGAGGAAACAAAAUCCAAGAGUCUCUGAUGGAAGAUCUCUUCAUGUCUACUCCGAUUUUCCAUUAGACCUGGAGAGGAGAUUUCUUCACAUUUUGUUUUCACUAGUUGCGUCAUGUCUAGCUCAUCUCUCGGUGUUAUCUGAUAAACAAAAAUCUUACAUUUGUCAUUCUUUUUCUGUUCAAAUACAUGCAGACGAAACUAUAUUAUUGAAAAUUAGCUAUUUUCUUAGUCUAUGGAUCAUAGUCAUAUAACAAUACAAGCACAGGCAAACGAAAGGAAUCAUAUUCGUUUUUCUUGAUUUUGGAAAAGCUCAACAAGCUCUUGCACAAUAUAUUAAUAUAUAGAACCCAGUUCGCAGAUUGCUUUCUUCAGAAUAAAGACAAGUAUAGUUGAGAAAGUAUUCUAGUUUCCAUUCCUUGCAGUGUGGCCAUACAGUUCUGCUUUCAAGAACAGAAAAAAGUUGACUGGGGAAAAGCUUAUUACUGUCCACCACCAUAGGCAUGGCUCAGCCUCCUCUUCCUCUCACUGAAGCUCAGGCUCCGCACAACAAUUGGAAGGCAGCAGUGUGCAGAAUGAGUUGGUUUCUCUUUCCCAGAUUUGGAAUCUCUGUGUGGAGUUGUUUCGCCGCUGCGGACAGAGCUUUCUGCAGACUGAUAUGGACUUCUACUUGUACAUUUCGGAGAGAGGUAAGCAGCUAUAGGCUUGCCAUUGACUUUGUCUUGGAAACUUUGGUUGUUAUUAGCCAGAUCGCUACUGAUGUUCUCUCGAAAGAGCUCGAUUAGUUGCUUCUUCAUAUCAGCUGGAGAAGGUUCAGCUAUUGAACUGGCUGAAGUGAUAAUACAGAGAGAUUCUUCACGUGGAGGGGUUUCUAUAUAGCUGCCUUGGUGAAUAGGAGUAGUGCCACGUGAUGGAGUAAAAUCUGAAUAAAUGAGUUAACCUAAUUUAAAACCAAAGAUGUACGCAUAGAAAUCUCAACAAUGAUUUAUGUUAAAAGUAGGAGUUUCUUGGAAGAAAUAAGCCACGGAAAGAAAUUUAAGGAAAACUCACCACCAUCGAGACUGAGGUAAUCUUCACAAUCAGACUCUAUCCAGGGAUGAGAAUCAAAAAACAUAUCCUCUUGGUUACCUGAACAAGUAAGAGGCAUACUUAAGACAAAUGCUCAACGGGUUGAGAGCAGAUCAAGAGGAACAGCGACAUAAAUUCAGACGCAGUCUGAAACUCGAUACGAAAACUGCAGGAGUUAGCACAUCACAUGAGGACCUUAAGUAAAAUGAUCUUCAAUGAUGCCAGAUUACAUCUUGAUGAGUAAACAUGCACAAUUUUCAAUUUUAUAUGCUAGUCGAAUAUGGAUGAUCAGUGUUUCAUGUUCAAGACAAAAAUAGGGCGUAGAUUAAUGGAAGAUCCUCAGGAUGUUCAUAUUAACCAGAGGUUUGUUAAGGACAAUGUCCUUAGGAUGCCAUGGCCUUAAACGACUAUCUACAAGCAUGAAGUUCCAGAAUCAUAUGGAGUUUUAUCCGAUUAAGUCAUCGUAUAUUUCAUGCUUCUUAAGAUUAAUUCAUAAACCAAAACUGCAGUUUGUUGAAUGCUUUGCAGACAUCAUGGAGAUUUCAGAAAGACUGCCUGGCGUCUACUCAAACUGUUAAAUGGAAUACUCACAUAGAACUUAACCUAAUAGCGAGGAUAGACAAGACAACUGAAGUAUUAUUGGAAGACCUACUUAGAAUUAAGCACGAGCAAACUCCAGAACCCAACCAUUAUCAUGAGGGCAAUUCAUAUAAAUUUCUUAUAUAGGAAGAACUUGUUAUUUGCAGCUGAAACGUCCCUUUUCAUUUUCAUCAUCAGAUAGAUGAUCAGAGGUAGAUCAACGAAUUUCAUGGCAGAUAAGAAUUUCAUCCAAUAACCAAGAUGCAGCCAGCUACGUUCAUCAAAAUCUAGGUCGCAGCCUAACGAGGGACAUCGUUUGCAUUCCAUUUCAACAUUUAAAGGAUCAACAUCUAUUCAACAUUUCACAUCCACAAACCAUUCAACUGGAAAGCAAAUUAGAAAAAAGAAUAAAUGAAGGACUGGAGGUAAUAAUGGCACACAAAAGAUGGACAUUUUACAUGAUAAAAUAAAGUUGGAAUCGUACCCAUGUCAUGAAAACUGGCUUCACAAGGCUUUGGAGACAAGGACUGGGGCUUGGAAUUGGGUUUUUCAGUCAUGGAGCGAUCACCGUAGACUUUGCUGCUGCCCUUCACUGGUGAUUCAAUAUGGAUACAGUUUCCUCGAGAAUCAAUGGGGCAACUGAAUUUCAUAGCAGAGCCGGCUUUCUUCUGAACUGAAGCACAGGUGCCCAUGUCUGCAACUAUACUGUAUCAAUCCGUUUCUGAACAAGCAUUACUUGGACUUAAUGUUGUUUGGGGGAAAGGUUGGUUUCUCUCCAACUAAAAUCUGGGAAAGAAGUUGGUUGGUCUUGAAAGCGAAGUAAUGGCAUUUGCAGAGGGACCCCCUCCCCUUUAUUGAAGUUUCCUGUUCUUGUUUUACUUUGUACCAUUACUACUAAUUGUUAGUGGCAGCUGCAAGACAAGGGGAGAAAAGCUGCUUUUUGGGUGGUUCCCAUGAUUUCUACUUUGAAAUGAUAGACCCUUUUGCUACUACUGAUCUUUUUUGGUGUUCUAUCAUUGGAUGUUUAUUGACUUCAAAAUCAAGUGGAUUUGAAAAUGAAAAUCAUUAGCUAGCUGAACUUACAAUAAAUGAACAAGGCAUUCAGAAAACCCAAGAUCACCCCCACAAUUUCCCUGUUACAAGGCUCCAUCCAAAGAAUCAUUUCCAUGGUGUGAGCUUUUAUUUCCUUGCUGGGUACUAGUUCUAAAUACAUACCUAAUAAUGUCUGUAGCGGUGAGGGCACAUCUUAACUGUUCAAGAGUGGAGCACUGAUGCGAUGCGAUGCGAUGCAACCGUAUCUUUCAUGACAAAGGAAGGAUGAAUUAAUAAUAUAUGGGUGCUUCAUUAUUGAGGUAGAUUUAUCUCAACUUCACCUGGUCUGCAAAUUUAAUCCUGGAUGAUGUCACAGAAGGACAGGAAAUUUAAAAACACGCAAGAAAGUAAUUAUGUCAUUUCUUUCUGGUGGAAAAGAUAACUUCAAGUUAUGAGAUGAAAUUGACGUUUGCUAUCCCUCCUCUGUUAUCAGCCAAUUUUGGUCCCAAUAUCGUCCACUUCUCUUUCCUUUUCUUCCUUUGGGUCGCUUUGGAAAGGAGGGUUGGUGCAUGGAGCAUGUGGCAUGUUAACAUAUUUUGAGUUAACUGCUAAUCAACAAUUUGUUCCAACUCGUGGAAGUUUUCAGACAUGAUACAACAUUUUCAUGCUAACAGAGAUCUUAUGCAAUUCCAUCAUGUGGAGUUAGUGUUAUACCAGUCCGAAAAUUCCAAAUCUAAGUUAGUCAAACUCCUAUAUUCACUUGCAGCUAAUUUCAUAUUUAGUUUACAGAUCCAAAAAAUUAACAAAAAAGUAAUGAUAACUGCAUGUAUAGUCAACUAGGAAUUAUGAUCCUUAAACUUACAAGUAAUGCUCCAAACUAAGCUAUCAAAAGAUUCAAAACAAUGAAUUUGUUGUUUUACUGAUUUGCCGACAACUGGAUUCCUAUGCAUAAACUUCGAAAUGAAAAGUUUGUUUGGAUCUGGAUUCUAGUGUCACCAAACUCUCUGUUUCAGUGUUGUCUUCUAUAGAUAUCUGUGCUUUCAAGGCGCAGCCUAAGAAAACGAAGUACCAUCACAGUAAAAAAUUCUGAAAAGAGAAGAAGCGUUUCUAAGUUUAAUAAUUCCUAACAUUCAAUAACGGAUACCAACACACUUCUACACCUUCGCUACCAUGAUAGGAUAGCUUGUCACUUGUGGAAAGAGGCUUCUAAUGUGUAGAAAAGCAACUUCCAUCACAGACAAACUAGAGAAAUAAUUUUAGAGUUGUUGCUAUGGCGUACUGCUGUGCACAGUGAAGCAACAUGCAGGUCCUAGCAUGUCAUCAGCACCUUGUGCAAGUAAAAUCUACUAAUCAAGAAAUUUUGAGUGGAGACCAUACCAAAAUACCAGAGCCAUAGAGCAUUAACAAACAACUAUCAAUGCUGAAAAUGUAAUUGAAGAGUCUAUUCAGAUGAACCAUAUAAAAUGCCAAAUACAAUAAUUCAUAUUCAUCAUUUUCAACAACAGAACAAAUUAUUCUUACUCUUUAGUCUCUACUCCGAGUCUCCAAGGAUCAUCUUGUCCUCUACUGAUAUCUCUCUCCCUCUCCCCCAACCACACUAUCCCAACUUUCUCCUCAACACAAUCCCAUAAAAGCCACCAUUGUGCAGAAAUCACUAGUGCUUCUGAAAGUAUGGAUAGCAAAGAAAUGGUAGAAAAUGGGUUGAAGAUGAGGAGUAUCCACCAUGAAGACUACAAUAACAGAAGGGUAUUCUUGAGGAGCUAUCCUCUUCAUUGUGGAGCAGCAGACGACACAAUCAUUGAAGAGAUGGUCAGCGCCACUAAAGCAUAAGCUCCAGAUCAGCUUUGAGGCCAUGGGGCCCUAAUUCAGCGGAAAUUCCAUCCUUUUCUGCCUCCUCUUGGCAAUUAGCCAAUUGAGCGCUUGUCAGAGAGGCACCCGAUAGUGGAAGUCCAGUGCUUAGUUUUUCAAAAACUUGAUUUUUGAUCCAUACCAUCAUCUUGCUAGAUUACAACGCUGUAAAACAUUCCACGAGCUAAAUUUCAGACACUUAGGCACAAGUUGGUGCAACAGAAACCAUGAUUUUUAAUAUCCUAAAGCAGACGCUAAUCCUUGGGGCAAAUUAUCAUACUUCUAUUUGCUAAUCUAGUCCUAAUUCAAUGAAGAAAAUGGCAGCACCAAACCUAGUAUAGGAAACACAAAAUCGACUGGUUUACAAGAAAUGAAAUCAAGCCUAAACUAUAAAAAAGAGAAUUAACUUUUAAACCACAAACACAUUCUCAUUGUCAUAUUAAAGCCCUAAUAUGCAUGUCAAUGCACAAACCAGACGGAAAGCUGCUAAAGAAAGCACGCAUUCAAGCUCACAUAGAAACAUGCAUCCAAAUUGCAUAAGCAAAUCAAUGGUAUAAGAAAAAAACAGAGAAAGAGUGAAUGAGAUAAUAAAAAAGAAGACCUUUUGCCCCCAUCUGCAAGAUGCUAUCUCAUAAAAUCAAAAAACCCUGAUUAACAAUUAAAUUUUUUAAACAAAUAAAAAUUGCUAAUGCAAUAUAUAUAUGUGCGCGCGCGUUGUGGGUCUUCGUCAAUCAUCAUAGGCAUACUCUGUUGAUCACUCAUAACCUUAUUAAGCAUAAUCCCAGCUUCUUUUAUUAGAGCCAAAAGAACGCACCAAAUACAGCUGAGCGAGCGGAGGCGUCGAGUCUUUCCGCAUGGAGAGAAAGCCUCCCGUGGCCGCUUCUGGCGGAGGUAUACCAUCGAAUAGUCAAAAGCGGAGACGAAGCCUCCCUCUCUGGAAGCCUCUGGCGUCCCCGUCGAUCAAAAUUGCCCGCCUGCCGAUUUAGGAUUUUUAGUAUUAAUUAAUAAAUUGAUAGGUUUUUAUUUAUUUGGGCCUCUUUUUUCAAGUCCCUGGGAUUAUUAUGGGCCUAGUCCCACGCUCUAGGCUUUGGUUUUGGACUUUGAUGUCAAACAACCGGUCCAUUAGAUCUGCUUAAAUUAAAAUAGUGAGAUUUAUUAUUAUUCUAUAUACUACAACAACUACUAGGGUUAGUCGAGUUAGAUAUAAAUUGUUUUAAAUACUUAUAUUAAUUAAAAAUAAUAAUAAUAAUAAUAAUAUAUUAGUAUAAUUAAUUAAAUGAUAGGCUGGAUUAUUAAUAUUUAUUAUAUUAUGAUUUAUGAAUAUAAACUGACUUGAAUAUUCACGUUAAUUAAAAAUAAAAAUAAAAAUAUAUUAUUAUUAAUAAUAAUUAAAUGAUAGGCUGGAUUAUUAAUAUUUAUUAUAUUAUGACUUACUAAUGCUUGUAUUUCCUAAUUUUUAAAAUAUCUUUAUUCAAAAUCAAUAUGGAGCAAAUCCUUGGAAAUAAACUAGUUUAAAGGUGGAUUGAAAAAUAAGUUAUUGAUAUAUGAUUAAAGUGAACACUAAGCAUGUAAAAUUACUAUGGAAGGGUGUGAGCUGCUCUUAAUAAAGUCUAGGUUCAUAUAAAAACUAUAUAUAAUUAAGCAAUGGUAGUUGUUUUCUCUAAUUUUCACUGAUGGAGUUAGGAAUGAGCAAAAAAAAAUAAUAAACCUAUUAAAUCAAAAAAACUGAAAAAAAUAACAAAAAAAACUGAAUUAUGAAAAAAAAAAUUAAAAUCUUGAACAAACCAACUGGUUCAAUUCGGUUUUAUAAGCCUAAAUCCAAAAAAACCAAACCGAACUCAAACAAAAAAAACCGAGCCAAACCGGUUUAAACCGAUUUUGUCAUAAAAAACCAAACCAAAACUAAUCGGUUUUGGUUUUUUCAAAAAAAAAAUUAGUUUGAUUUUUUUUUUAAUAAAAAUCAAACCAAAUAAAAAAUAAUAAUCCAUGAAUAGAGUUGUCAAGACCUUUUUAAAUAGCUAGAUUGAACUCUUGUUACCUUUUUAUAAUUAUAAUGUAAAAAUAAUAAUGUAUUUAUGCCUUAUGAAAUACUUUUUUUACUCAAAAAGAAAUAUAAACAGAAUCUUCACCCCACAUCCAGUACUACUACUAGUUACCUAGCGCACCCUCCACCGCAGGUUGUAUAUUUUUUCUUUCAAUAAAAUUUUUGGAUGUACAAGUUUUACUGCGUGUUAUUUUAUAUAAAAAAAUAUAAAUAUAAAUCGAAAAACUUGAAAAUGAAAGUUCACAUGGAUGUAGAUCCCCCUAACGGCAAACUAUCUAUUCUGUCUUCUACAGGCAUCAUAGCUUUCAGGAAACAAUAAAUAAAGGAUGAAAUGAUAUAAAGAACAGUACUGAAUAUGGCAGAUAUGAUUGUCUAUAUGUUUUGCAGAAGUUUUGAUAGCAAUAUAUACCAGCAGAGACAAUCUACACUUUCCUAACCAUGAUAGGGUUAGGUUGUCUUGUGGCCAUGUGCGUGCUAAGUACGUGUUGAGUAAUCUAAAUGAGUUUACGGAUGCAGCAAAAAUUUCAUCGCAAAUAUUGAAAUUGUGAAUAAUACUUUCCAAAUUGUCACCUCAAACCUUCUAUUCUGUUCAAUUUCCACGCCAUAUUUCUUGGAUUAAAACAAGAUAAAAUCCAUUGCAGACAAAAAAAAAUAAAGAAAAUGAGGAGCAUAUUCAACUGAUAUGAUCCAUGGCAGACAAAAAUUAAAGAAAUAAUCUAAGAGUUGUUGCUAUAGCAUACUGCUGCGCAUGGUGACAAGCUCGGUUAAGCAGCAUACAGGAAGGGUCCAAGGAUGUCAUCAACACCUUGCGUGAGGAAAACCUAUCAAUCAAGAAAUUCAGCGAGGACACCGAAACAAAAUAUACUAACCAAAGAGCAAUAUUAAUGAUAAAAUAUAUUUGAAGAGAGACUAUUCAUCUGGACUAUAUUAAAAGCUUACAACACCCCAAAAUCAUUUUCACUGAUUGAAUUAAUUAAUCGUACUCCUAUGUCUCUACUCCCAGAAUCAUCCUGUCCUCUGUUGACAAUUCUCUCCCUCUCCCCCAGCCACCCUACUCAUUAUUUCAACGCAAUCCUAUAAAGCCAGCUUUGCAAUCAGUAACAUAACAAGCAUGGAAUGCAAAGAUAUGGAGGAAAAUGGGACGGGGAUGAGGGCAAGGAGCUUCCGUGAUGAAGAUUACAGCAACAGAAGGGCAUUUUUGAGAAGCUAUCCUCUUCAUCACGGAGCAGAAGAUGAGACAACCAAUGAAGAGAUGAUCGGUGCCACAAACAAGGAAACUGAGAAGAAACCCAUAAAGAGGAUGAUCAUAUCAGUAAUUCAUUGGGGUGAAGGGAAGGUUUUAGUACUGAGGAAAUUCAAGCAUAAGAUCCAGGUUUAUAUCAUAGCUUGUAUGCCUGUCAGCUCUAAGCCCCCUACGGCCCUAAUUUCAGUUUAAAUCCAGUAUUCUCAGCCUUGUCUUCUUCAAAACUAUACUGUUUGCAUAAAAUAUAUAUAUUAUGUCUGUAACAAAUUACAAACAUCAUUACAGAAUCUCUAAUUUCUCAAAACGUGCAGAAAACAGGGUUCCUCUAUUCAUUAGCAGCAGCCUCUCUCGAUCAUUGAUGUAUAGAUGAAAGAAGUCUGGAAAAAAAAGGGAAGGGAAGGGAAGAAAAAAUCCACACAGCAGCAUGGUUCAGUGAUUGAGAGCAAGUCUCAGACUACUUUUGCAUAACAUACACAAGUUAUCACAUACCUAACAGCACUAGAAGUAAAAAUUUUCAGGUGAAAUCACUUUCUAAAAUCACCUCCCACUGCUCAAGGCAUGACAUCAUUUCAACAAAAUAAAAGAAAGAGCCCAAGGUGAUAUGGCAUACAUCAAUGCUUUUCUAUAACUAAUUUUAGCAGAAAGUGCUUCAGAAUCUGGCAAUCAAUCAGUUAUGAAAGAGAAUGUACCAUCGAUAGACAUUUACCAAACAAAUGCAUGAAAACAAGUUUAUAAAAUGAUGCCAAACAGUUUUUAUCACUUAAAUUUAAUCACAUAAACAAUUUCAUCACAUGGGUGACAUUUUACCCACAAGAAAGAAAGAUGGAGCUUACUUCCACAUACAGAGGCAACAAAUUUCUAUCUCAGAAAAAGAUUAUCGACACGCCCAUUGUGAAGCAUCCUACAGCAACCCAGGGGCUCAAACGUUCACCUAUUUCAGCAUCACCAAAGAAAGCACCAGAAUGUCAGAUAGUUGAUCACAUCCUGAAUUGCCAAAGACCUAUAAUGAUUUAUUUUCCGUUCUAAAUUUCUUCUUCAUGGUUUGCAUGAUCAUUAGUUUCACAGCAACACCAACUAAAUAAGGAGUUUUUGUAAUAUUGCUCCACAGUUUUAACAAUUAAAUGCACAACUUCACAGUAACUAACUUAAAAGUUAAAACAUUUAAACUUGAUUUUAAUCCUAAUCCAAAUCCAAAUGCUGUGAACUUGAAAAGUUUUAGUAACCGUGCCAGAAACCCACUUUGACUAACACCAACUGCUAAGAGAUCCAAUUAUCAAGAUUCCCUUCCAUUCUUUUUCAUUCCAAUACUCCUUCAUCCCCCUACCAGAAUCAUCAAAUUACAACUGCCGCUAUCUCUAUCUCCUUACUAUGAGUCCUAUCCCUAUUCACACCCAGCUUUUACCAGGUGAACCAAUACCUGGAUACUUUGACCCUCUACAUGAUUAAUUUCCCUCAUUUUAUUUAUUGAUAAUAAAAUUAUUAUUUUUAUCUUGCAUGCACUUUGUUAAUUUUAAAAAGGGAAAUGGCCCAGCCUAUCCUUAUAUAAUGGGGUAAGUGCCUAAUCUGUCAUUACAUCCUAAAUGAGCCAAUUAUGUCCUUAUAUAUUAAGUGAGUUUCCAAUCUAUCUUUAUGAUGACUUUUUUUCUAGUAAAAUCAUCAGGUGUGAUCUGUUGCGUGAUCCAGCCAAGAACAAGCACCAAACCCAUUUUUUUCUUCUUUUCUCUUCUUCUUAUUUGUUCCCUCUAUCCCUUCUUCCUCUCCUACCCCAUUAAAUACGAACAGGCUGGGUCAUUUCCCCUUUUAAAAAAUGUUGUUAGGGAACUUUGUUUUUGCAUCCAAAGUCCAAUAUGCAAAUGUUCCAUAUGACACUUCAUCUCUGUUAGAAUAAUAUACAACAAUAUUGAUCUCUUUAUAUACUUCGUUAUAUAUAUAAAAGGCUUCUUGAAAAAUUAAAUCCAUACUGUUAACUAAUUGAAAAUGGAGAAAAAUAAAGAGAUGUUAUGCCCAAAGAAAGCUAAGGAAUAUUCCACUAAUUGAUGGUAAGGAAUCUUGGUAAGGAAGCCUACCUAUUCUAGCUGCCUUCCAAAAGAAACCACGAAAUCUGUCAAAAAGUAUAUUACAUUGGUUAGUUCCAUAAUCAUCAAUACAUAUUAGCCACACACCAACAAAACUCCUGUGAAUAUAAUUAUCUCUUUACAAUGCUAACCCGCACCAUACAUAGAAAAAGAAUAUAUUGAUUGUAUAAUCACAUGUAUUUUGGGUGAAACAAGAACAAAUGAUGACCUGGAGGAUUAGAGAUAACUGAUUUCAUAAAGUUCUAGGAUAAUACGCUCAGUUAAGCACGUAGAUAAAGAAGACACUUUUUUUCUAGGGGUGGUAAUAUUCCAGAGAUUUUGGAAGCCCCUCCCUGCUGUUUUAUGUGGAGGGGACUGGGCAUAAGUUUUCCCAGGCUAAGCAAGGAUGACAAUUACUUUAACUUCAAGCAAGAGUAAUCAUUCAUUCAUGCCCAUGACCUAUGCCUGAUUAUGAGGUUCCAAAUGCUAUGAUCAUUGGAUGAUGACAGAAAAUUGGAAGCACAUAAAUCUGCUCUCUUGGUUGUCGCUUUGUUUACAGUAGCAAUUCUCUAAUCUCUUGUAACAGAUUCUACAAUAACCAAACCAUCUUGUUUCAUGUGAAACAGGGUCGUGUUCAGCAUAUUAUUAGCUAUGGUAUCUUUAUAUUAUUAGCUAUGGUAUAUGUGAUGGUUGUCGAAGUUGUCAUUUAUAAUUUUCUUUUUUCUUUUUUAUCAUGGUCAUUGGUAGACUUUUAAGCUGAGGGAAUCAGGUGUUAUACAUCAAGUGCUCCCAUUUUCAUACAAUGUUAUUACAUGAAUGAACUUUAACAGAACAAAUUAAUGUACAGUGCUUUAAAAAAGAAGUGUCUUUUCCUACUUCACAUCUUGUUUUGGAUUGGAUACCAACCAAUUUCACAGCACCAGGAGCAGGGAUAAAAUAAAAUUGUUAGCUGAGGCAUAGAUGCCAGAGCCAUCUCCAACGAUUCCCAACAUGUUAACAGCCCCACUUAUUUUGUCAUGUCCCAUUGACUGGUGGAAAGGAAGUAAUGGGGAUUCUCAUGUUCCACUCACUGAAGUUUACUCUACCAAAGAGACUCAAUUUAAAAUGUUCUCCACAAGAACAGAUAAUCAGCAGGUGGGGCACUGCUAUUAAACAUGUUUCACUGAGGACAACAUAGCACGACUUAAGAAAUAGCACUGAGCAGGCCUUAUGCUUUCAAACUGAUGCUAUAGAUAUAAAGUCUCUGUGAAUCUUAGACUCUAGAAGUCCCUUGGGCAGUGCCCUCAUAGAAUCUGCAUCACCAAGGCUCAACAUUUAUUUUGUGCAGACACUACAAGCUAUAGCGAUUGGCAUUUCAAAAGGUGUAGUUUUAGGUGAUUGAAACUUCCUCUUCAAACCUUAUCGUUUUUGCUGGAUGCUAACAUGCCUGAAAUAAUUACCGUGGGCUUAGAAGACCAUUAAGAAAAUGUAAAACCUAAUAGCAGUGCAAGAGUAUAUAACAGCAUAACAGUUUCAAGAUGGGGAUGGUUAAAUUGUAAAUCCAGUAACAUUAUCGAGUUUGGAAGAUCCAAUGGACUUUCACUUCAUCUUUGUUAAGCUAUCAUUGGUUUGGGUUAUGCUCAAACUACACAAAAGACUGGUGCCACUACAUUUCUGCAAAUCUUAUCACAUGCUAAAUGAGAAGAUUUAGCAGAUAAGAGUGUCCAAAGCUAAGAGAAGUUCAGUUAUAUGUGCAUCUAUUUUAUACAGCAUAAAAAAUGACUGAUGAAAACCUAGUACUAUUUGAUGGUGAAAAUUGAUAGAAUUCAGGAGGUUAGUGCCACCCACUUGAAACUAGUUAUCGAAAACAGAAAUUUUCAUUAAAAAACCAAAACAAAAGUAUAUGCAUAAUCUUAGAUUUCUUAAAAUUGUAGAAAAGAAAGCGGGAAAAAACAGCCGACACAACCAAACUUUACAUAAUCUAAGUUUUCUAAACUACAUCCAUAGCUAGACAAUGUUGCAAUACAAUGCAACUAAUUUUUUGAGUUAACGCAAUCAGCAAUACACUCUUCAAUCAUCCCCUACACAUUUAAUAAACCCACAAAAUAAAAUAAAAAAAGUGAAAAAAAUGGUCAUACCCAUUUCUCUGUUCAAGGAUUGCUGGAAAGUGCAUCUUCACAAAUGUGCAUGUACAAAUCCCCAACAGCACCACUGUCAGAAACGAAUGGAAAUUGAACAGUGCAGACUGAAAAAAGAAAGAAAACCCACGUCAAGAAAACAGAAAUAACAGAUUAACAAUAACAAAAUUUGAUUUAAUUUACCAUGUCUUGCUUCUUAUUUUUGAAGACGCUGAUGGCUUCUCUUCCUUCAAAUCUAAAAGUUACAGUGCAGCUGCCUAGCAAACUAAAUCAAUGAACGAAGAGCAUCAAUGUUUGGGCAGAUUAGAUUAGGGCUUUGCGACAGAAAAAUUUGAGUUAGGAUUACCUUGCAGCAAAUUUUCCAAAUUAUGAAUCUUCAGAAAAGUCGUUAAUAAGAAACCGCGAGGAACCGCUUUUCUUGCUUCAAUUCAAAGCCAAAAGGUGUAACGGGCUAUCAGCAGCAGAAAUAUCAGUUCAGUAAGUGAAUGGAGUUUUUUUGUUUUCAAAAAAUGGUAAAGCAACAUAUUUAAAAAAUAAUUCGGUGUCUAGCAUGCACUGAGAUAUUAUGUACUUUCGCAGUGAAUCAAUAUAAUUUUACAAAAAUAUAAAAAAUAUAUUAAAAUUGUUUUAACUUUUAAUAAUGUUAUUAAAUUUAAUUAAAUAGAUUAAUUUUUAAAUGUUCACUCUUUUUUAUUUUUGAGACUCAAGUAAUAUGGGUAUAUUAAUUAUGUCAUACUCAAGCGCGGACUCAAACGCCUUGAGUUUGAAACUAAUAUAAAAUCCAAGUGCCUUGUAUUUGGUAAUCAUGUUAGAUUCAAGUUUUUUAAAUUUAGCAAUCAUGCAAGGUCUAAGAACCUUGAAUUUGACUUGUUUGUCAUAUUUAAGUAAACAAAAGUAUAACAUAGUUUUUUGAAUUUAAAAAUAAUAAAAUAAUAUCAAAAUACCCUUAUUAUUAUAGAAAAUUAUAUAAAAGUGGUGUGAAAGAACAAAAUUACUGUCAUAUGCAAAGCUUUUUUUUCUUUUCUUUUCCAAGACUAAAGAUGUAUUUUAACUAUUUACUAAUUUAUGAAAGGUAAAAAAAACCAUUGGAUAACAUAUUUUAAUUUUGUUAAUCUUAAGGGUAGAAUAGUAUUUUUACUAUACAAAUAAUCGUGAAAAGACUACCAUACCCCGCUUAAAUGUUUGAUGACCAAUGAGCCUAUAAAAAAUACUGAAAUACCUCCACAAAUAAGGCUUUAAUUUUUUCAACCAAAUAGCAAAAUAAUAAUUUAACUUUAUGUGAAAAAACAACAUUAGCCUCAUCCCAAGCCUUCAAAGCUUGGAAAAUUCAUUGUAAAAGUCAAUUAUGAACUAUAUCUUAGUCCACAAUACACUUAUAUAGGGUUGUCAGACCUAAGCCACUUGGACAACAAAUUCUCAAUACCGUCGUUGUUUUAACCCAAGCUAGAGUUAAAAGACUCCAUGCUCAUAAUUCAUCUUCAUAGUACCUUGAAUCAUUACAACACUCGCACUUAACUCUCUCUUCACAAUUGUCAACAUCAUCUCGACAAUUUUCAAUGUUGUCGUUGUUUUAACCAUUACCUAACUCUAGCGCAAAUGUAAAACAAUGAACUGUCAAAAGCUUAAAUCAUCAAAAAAAAAAUCAAGGAGUGAAAUGAAAAGAUGGUAACACAUGGAGAUGACCUAUAUAACCUGCAAAAUCGAUAACCUGGGUAAUAAAUACAGCCAUAAUGAGUUAAUCCGAUUCGAGAAUCUACCUUUUUCCUUUUUCUUCACUUAUUCCCCUUCAGGUAGGGCCUUGACUAAGUCUAAAUUGAACUUGAGUUUGAUUAAAGAAUGAAGAUAUAAUUUUAAAAAUCCAUAAACACUUAAGAAUAAAACUGAAAAAAUAUUAGUUUAAAAAAAAAAGGAACUCGGGUGAACCUCCUAGAUCAAGGUCAUUCAUCUUAACUCGUAACCCAUGAAAUCCUAGAUUCAAAUUUAAUAAAAAAGCUCAAUUUUCAACUUAUUUUAAUGUUAGAAGAUAAAAUUAUAUAAAAAAAUCUAAAUAAAUAAAAAUUGCCAGAGCAGUAAGAAUUGCAAAAAAAAAAAAAUGAAUGAGAAUCAAAUUACAUAAGAAAAGAUCGAAGGGGAAUAAAAUUGUAAAAAAAAAUGAAAUCUAAAAAUCAUUAAAACAAAACAAAUAACAUUUAAAAGAAUGUGAACCAAAUAUAAUAAAUUAAAACAAAAUAAAAGGAUUAUGAAAUUGAAAAAUAAAUAAAUUUUAAAGGAUGAAGUUGAAAAUAAACUAGCUUAAAAGGGGGGGCCAUGCAAACCCAUGUAAAUUUUCUAAAACUAGUUAAUCCCCCAAACUCGCAACCUGUAAAAUUCUAGAUUUAAAUUCAAUUAAAAAACUCAAUUCUCAGCCAAUUUAAUAUUGAAGGGUGAAAUCAUAAAAAAAAUCCAAAACAAAAGGAAUUGCAAAAAAAAAAAAAUACAAGAAGGAUCAAUUAACAUAGGAAAAAAUAUUGAAGGAUGAUGAAAUCAUAAGUAAAAAUUAUCCAAAAUAAAAUAUGCAACGAUCAAGAGAAUAGGAACCAAAUCUAAAAGAUAAAAAAUUAAAGGAAAAUAAAAUUGAAAAGAAAAUCCAAUUGUAUAAACCAUUUCAAAUAAAAAAAAAUAAUAAUUAAAAUAAUAUAAAUCAAAUAUGAAGAAAAAACAAAUUGAAGAGUUUGUUUGAAAAUCUGAAGGUUGGUUUGAAAUUCUAAAGUGUCACGCAUGAAACCAAGGCGAAGAGACAAAAAAAAAGAGGAAACAAAGUUUAUCUGUGCCAAACUAGAGUUCAGAAAGCCACAUCCAAUGAUGUGAAAGGGAGAGGCCAUCGAGACGAAUCCAAUCACACCAAGAAAAUCUAUUGUUGAUUGUCGUAAGCUUUUGCACAUGUCAUCCGAAAGAAAAGAAGCACCUAAUGCACUGUGAUGCACUAUGAAUGCAUCAACCAUUUUUUUAAAAAUAUUUUAUAUCUAUUUAAAGACUAAAUUUUUCUUCAAGUUAACAUAAAUAUAACAAAAAAAAAAACAUAAUGAAAAGAUAAAAUAACUGUUAGAUGAGAUUUUUCAUUUUUUUUUCUUUUCAAGGGUAUCAUUAUCAUCUCACUAUGCUAAAUAAGAAGGAAAAAAAAUGACCCUGGAUUGUAGUUUACUUUUUUAAAAAGGUAAAAUUAAAUAAUUUUACCGUACUAAAAAAUAAAAAGACUAAAUAUCUCCCUGUUAACAUCAUAAUAACUAAUGAACUGUGUGUAAAAACUAAAUUACCCUUAAAAAAAAUUCAUUUGUGUUUUUAAAAAAGACAAAAAUUAAUUACACUACGGAGAUGAAUAAUAAACUAAGCCUUUGGCCAGAAUGUUUUUACCUUCCAUUUUAGUUUUUUUUUUGUUUUGUUACAGAUAGGUAUUAUAUGUGACAUCAACGAACACAACAUGUUAAAUUUACAUAUUCAUAAUUUAUCAUCAUCAAUGGAUAUAAUUAUCAAAUUUUUAUAACUAUAUCUUAAACUUUAAUCAUACAUUAAAAUUAAAAACUUAGAUAUUUUUAUAGAAUUUGAAAUAUGAUAUCAAAAUAAUAAUUAUAUAUAUAUCAAGUUUUUGUUAUUUAUAAAAUAAAAUUAAAGGUUAAACAAUUAGGUUUGCUUAAUAAGGUUUAAAAUGAUUAAAUAAACAGUAAAAACACUUGGAACCUCGACACAAAUGGAAUCGGAUCCCUUUUUCAUCAUAUUCGCUCCGACUCCAAUUCCAGCGGACAAUCUGUCCUCCGACAAGUCCACUUGCAAAUUGCAAUGGCUCCAGGAGCCGCCAAGCAGAGGCUAAAGGCAAAAGAGAAUUUAAGUUGAUCCUGAGCCCCGACAAUGGAGUUCUGUCCUGUAUGAAACGACAACAGAUUACAAUAACACCGUUGGUUGUCAAGGCUUUGCAUGGACUCAUUUGUGUCACUGAAUUUUCUUGAUCUAAACCAAAACCCAUUCAAGAGAAUGCCGAAAGAAACUCAGGAGCCAAGCAGAAGAGGCAAGGAAAUGAAGAACACAGAGAGAGAAUAAGGUAUUUUUAUUACAGCAUCUCCCGUAGAAACAGGAAAUAUAAAUUUUUAAAUUACAAAUUAAGCUACUUCCCUCAAAAGAAAAGAAAAGAAAUUGGAUUUCUCAUUCCAUCUACGCUAUGAAAUCUUGCUGGACCUGCCCAAAAAUUUUAGGCCAGGUUUUGGAGUCAAUGGGAGUCUAAUCCGAAGCAAUCUUCAACCCACCUGACCUUUCAAAAUCUCACCUUAGCAAAAAACGAAGCGCUCGUUGCAAAAUCAAGAACUUUUUUUUCCAAAGAAUAGGACACCUGGUGAGUGAAAAAGCAGCGUUCCUCCUCCUAUGUUCCGAUCCUUUCAAGAUUUUCAGAUACAAUUUUCAUCCGAGGGCGAACCUCAGAGUCAGCUUCGGUGCAAGCAAGAGCAACAUGAAAAACCGCUAUCACCUCCUUUUUUGCGUGUACUUCUUGGAGCAACAUUGGAUCAACCAUGUCUGAUAAAGGGUUUUCAUCUGCAAAUCCCUUUCUCACCCAUCUCACCAGGUCUGGAAUUUCUAUUGAAGUGGACGUGGUGGGUGAAAGCUCAGGAGAUUUUCCAGUAAGCAACUCGAGCAAAACAACUCCAAAUGAAUACACAUCCCAUUUCUGGGUAGGUCUGUUGCCUGAAACACGAGCCUCUGGAGCACGGUAGUUGUUUGUUCGCUCUGUUUGGGCUGAUUUUAAGUAAGGAAGUGCUCCGCCCAUAAAGCCGCCGGACGAGGAGGGGUUAUUGCCGGUGAUGCUGAUCAGUCGGUUGAGGCCAAAAUCAGAAACGUAAGGUUGGAAUUCGUUGUCGAGGAGAAUAUUCGAUGGUUUGAUGUCUCCGUGGACAAAUUUUCUCGGGCUGCAUUCGUGAAGGUAGGCUAAGCCCCUGGCUGUUCCCUUGGCAAUUCUCAGCCUGGUUGACCACGACAGACUUGUUGAAGGCUGACCAUUUUUCCCUGUAAAUUAAUGCUGUUUAUUAGUGCCUAUACCUUCACGGUUAAAUUGUAAGUGAGGAUUCAGAAAAUGAUCGGUUACAGAACAUAGAGAUUACGCAAAAUAAUCAAAACUAUAUCAAACACCUGGAGAACGUGUCAUUAAUGUCUGCUAUAACAGAUAAACCAGAUACGAUGUGAUGCAGAUUCUCCAUUGUUCUGUCAUUUAUUUACAAUCAUGGACCAUAUCAAGAAAAUAAAAUCAAUGUCUAGUUUCCGUAAUUUGUUAAAGUUUUUGAUUCUUCAUUUUUCAAAAAAUUAUUAUCCUUUAUGUACCAUGCCAAGGAUGUAAGAACAAAAAUCAUCACCCCAUGUGGAUGCAGAGGAGCCACUGUUAACUCGAGUAUAAACCAUGUUUGGUACUAUAUAUUAUAUCAUAAAUCUGUAAUGGAUCACGAAUGCCAUCUGCUUCAACAUAUGCAUUCGCAGACUACUAGCUGAAUGUAUGAUAUACUGCAUAUUUAUCUUGAUGGGUCUUGAACAGAGUUAAGAAUCUUAAAUGUCUUCUACUUCUUCUGACAGCAAGAACAGAGCACCCAGGAAGGUGCUACAGAGAAUGAUCAUGGGUCACAAAUUUACAGUAAAGGGGACUUCCAUCAAUUGUUUGGAGCAAAAACAAGAAAGAUUAUAAAGAUCACUCUUUUGGGAUAAAGUUUUAGCAUUCAGAUAAAAGUGGGAGAGAAAAGGGAACUUUUGACAAAGUUGAAGCAUGCACCUAUGAAAGAAACUUGAGGCGUCGAGAUUGAUUUCUCGAAUACAUGAGCUGUGAAAAAAAUCCUACACGAGGAACAAGACGGAGGACAUACUGUAGUUUUGACUGCAGCUAGCAUUUAUGGAAUCUCGGUGAAUGCUCGCCUAAAGAAGAAUCGGUGGGGUCAAACUGUACUAAAUCCCCCACCAUCAUCGCUCCUCCAUCAACCACUUCAGGUAAUGCGUGGCCAAUGAUGAGGGACCUACCUAUUCGGUGCAUCUUAUAGGCAAGCUACAGUGUCAUCCUAACCCGAGCACCCACGACAAAUAGAAAUACUCCUCGUAGAGGAUCAUAUCCUUCUAGUACUAGUAUUAUAAUAGUAAAUUUUCCAGUGCUUUGCUGUUAAUCAGAUUAUUUGUUGUUAAAUUUAAAAAAAAAUUGUUAAGAUUAUAAAUUUUUUUUGUGGCAGUAUGAUUAAAUUAAACAAUUCAAUUUUAAAACCUACUUGUCUGACUUCAUGUCUAACUCGAGUUUUCAAUUAAACUAUGUAGGAAUUGAUCUAAAAUAAAUCAAUGAAUUAAUAGAUUCAAAAACAACUUGGCAAUAUGAUUUUUUUAAAAAAAUUAAGAUGAUAUUUUAAAAAAUAUUUAUUGAGACGAUACCACAUUGAAUUGAUCUCAGUCACUCUACAACCUGGAUCAUGGACUUCAAUGAGUUUAAUAACUUUUUUGUUUUUGAAAAUUAUUUUUAUGAUAAAAAUAAAUAUUUGUAAAAUCGAGCAUCAAUCCUAAAAAAGAUAUUUAUUUGAGAUCGUGAUAACCCUAUAGAAAUUAGAGAAAAAUAAAUCAUGAUUUCUAUUUCUUAAUCAAAAGAAAAGUGAAAUAAAGAAAAUAAUUAAAAAAUUUAAAGGACCAAAAACUUAAAAACAAAUCAUAUCAGGUUUGAUGGGUAAAACCAUCAAAUCCGUGAAUCGGGUAAUGAACUCCGUUAGGAUUAAUAACUUGUUUUUUUAUAAAUAAAAAAAACUAUUAUUUAUUUAACUAUAUAAUAAUAAAAAUAAACAUGAAUUCUGUUUCUCAAUCAAAAGAAAAGUGAAAUAAAGAAAAUAAUUAAAAAACUUAAUGGAGCAAAAAAAAAUCAUAUCAGGUUUGAUGGGUAAAGCCAUCAAACCUGUGAAUCGGGUGAUGAAUUUUAUUGGGAUUAAUAACUUAUUUUUUUAAAAAAAAACUUUUUUUUAUUUAACUAUAUGAUAAUAAAAAUAAAUGAUCGCAAAAUUGAGUGUCAAACCAAUACAAAAGACUUUUUUUUAAUACUCAUAGAAAGCGAAAUGAAAAAAAUUAUGAAACUCAAUUCUCAAUCAGUUCAAUAUCGAAUGAUGAAAUUGAAAAAAAAAAAAAGCUAAACUUGCCAAGCUCGCAAAUAGGCUCAUGGACUUUCUAAAAUUUAAUAACAUGUUUUUAAAAAAAAUAUAUUUUUUAACUAUGUAAUAAAAAAAAUAGUCGAUCACAUUAUCGAGUUCUAUUAGAGGAAAAAAAAAACCCGCUAAACCCGCGAACCGAAGCAACCAAGGUUACCUUGCUAAGUUCGCAAAGUAGGCUAUUAACUCUACAAAGUUUAAUAAUCUUGUUUUUUUCUCAAUUAUUUUUUAUUUAACUAAAGUUUUUUAAAAAAUAGACCAUAUUGCGUUUCUAUGAUGUUUUUUUAUAUCAACCCUAUGCUUGGAUUUUUUUAAUAUUGCGACAACCAUAUAAAAAGUAAAUUAAAAUAAAUUAUCAACUCUAGAUCCUAAUAAACACAUAAUAUAAAUACUAAGUUAAAAAAAAAUCAAUAACAAAAAAAACUAAAAUACAAAAAAAAAAAAAACACCAUGGAUAACUAGGGAAAUAGCCCCCUCUCCUUUUAGCAUUUUACUUAAUGUAGUCUAAUCAUUUCAAUUGAAAUUCCUUAAAUUCUCUCUUUUUCUUUUUUUAUCUCUUUAUAGGGUGGUUAAGAAUGCAGUAGCGGUGGUUUAAAGUGGUUUUUUGUUAAAAAAUACAUUAAAAAAAUAUUUUUUACAUCAAUGGAAUAUUAUUUCCCUUUUAUUUGUGAAUGGAAAGGAGAGACCAGGCAUUGCCUUAACAAAGGGAAAGAGACUAGUGAGUGAGGGGCACUGCCUGCAUAAAGCAUGGCCUGUAAAGAGCAGUGAGUGGGUGAUAUACAUCCCAACUGGUAGGCCACAUGCCCAAUAAUGUCCGAGUCAUAAUGGCCAUUCCCAUUCCCAUUCCCAUUAUUUAAGCCCAUUUAUGCUCCCUAAUUGAUGUUCCCUCUAUUGAAAGGAACAAUAACUAUUGCACCUGUACCUCCAACCUGUUUGAAAGGGAGUUUUAAUAUGUUUUUUUUUUUUUAAAAUUUAUUUAUUUUAAUUUAUAUUUAUUUUUUAAAUAUUUUUAUAUAAUUUUGAUUUGUUAAUAUAAAAAUAAAAUAAAAAACAUUUUGAAAACAACUAAUACCAACUCCUCCCGUCUUCAUGACUCCUAGCUUUUCGUACUUCCAAUUCCCCUCCUCGUCCGUCCCAGAACAGUUCAUCUUAGAUUAGCCGUCAAGUCAAUUAGCUUAUCGAAAAAUCUCAAGUUCGAGCUGAUUUUUUUCAUGAAACAGAAGGUCUUAAAAACAUUGCGUUUGGAAACAAAGGUAUUGAGUUUGUGUUCGAAUCGGAGUAAAGUUGACAACAUGUUAGAAACAUGUGAUCCAACUUGAACCUGAUGUUACAACUUUCGGUUUGAACAGAAAAGGUUUGGUUUCAUAUAAAAAGUCAAUGGAUUUUAGUUUUAGGCUCUAGCGAUGAAUAAUUCAUGGAGGAACAAAGAUACUGCAACUUAGACAUAAUGUAAAAGGAACAAAAAGAAAAAGGAAUACAGACCUCGAAGAGCACUAGCCAAGUUGCCAUUGGAGAUGAAAUCACUGAUGAGAAGCUUUUCAUCUGGAGCCCAGUAAUAAGCUCUCAACUUGACAACAUUUGGAUGCUUAACCUUCCCAAUAGCCUGCGCCUCCGUUACAAACUCUUUAUACCUCUGCUCUCCUCCCUCGCCAAGCCUCCUCACCGCCACCGGAAUGCCAUUUCCGAGCACCACUUUAUACACUAUCCCCAACCCACUCUUCCCCAACACAUAAGCAGAUGCUCUCAGCAAUUCAUCGAGCUCAAAAGUAAAACCUUUAUCGAUCGCCACCAGCUCUCCUUCCGGCUUCCCUAUUUCUACUCUUUCCAGAUCUUCCAAUUCAGAGUCAUCGUUUCGAAGCCCAUUACCACAAUAACAUAGUGAGCACGAGUGUGAUUUCUCAUUGCCACCAAAUUUGCUUUUCCCAGCGCAGCUACAACCAUUAGAAUCAUCCUUCUUUUUCCAGUAAAUAUAAACUAUAACUAGACCAAGAAACGCCACACCAGCUGCGUCAGCUACUGAGAUUACUAUUAUCAAACCGGGACUUAAUCCUUUUCUAGGACUGUUAUCAGAAACCGGUGCUGAAUUCUGAGUUUCAGACGAGCUAUGUGCGGAGUCCUUGCAAGAUUUCUGCAGAGGAAACCCGCAAAGCAAAGGAUUACUGAGGAAAGCAGUCGGUCCUUGGUUAGCAAAGGACCCUGUUUGAGGUAUCUCGCCGCUGAAAUUGUUGUUUCGCAGAUCAAAACUCACAGUAACAGGCAAAUUUCCCAGUGAUUUCGGAAUCCUACCCGAUAAAUGAUUGAAAGAAAGAUUUAAAGUAUUGGACAAAGACUUAAGCUCUCCCAUAUCGUUAGGAAUGGAUCCAUUGAAAUCAUUAGCAGAAAGAUCAAGCUGCAUUAAAUUAUCCAAUACAGGCCAAAUCCCAGCUGGAAUUGGACCGGAGAAUUUAUUUUUCGCUAGGAUCAACCUCUGCAACUGCUUGCAGCUAUUUAAAUUUUGAGGCAGAGAACCCGACAGCGAGUUGUUGGAAAGGUCAAGAUUUUGAAGACGAGGGAGGUUACAGAUGAAAGGCGGGAGAGAACCAGAAAGAUUGUUACCAUAGAGAAAAAGACUGUGAAGUGAAGUAGCGUUAAGCAGCUGGUCAGGUAUUGAACCGUAGAAGUUGUUGUUGUGGAGAUUAAGUCUCCGAAGAUAAACUAAGGUGCCAAGCUCGGAUGGAAUGUAGCCGCGGAGAUUCUUGCCGGAGAUUGCAAUGCCAACAACACGAGGGUCCGGCAACCCGGUUAUGUUCAUGCAGGAAAUGCCAGUCCAGCGACAUGGAUUUUGGUCAUCUUCGUUCCAGUCAGAGAAAGCAGAGCCAGCAGAAGCUUGAUCAACGGCUGAUUUUAAGGACAGGAGGGAUAAGCCAUCAGCUGUGAGGGAGUGGCUGGGUCUGGCGCUAAAUAGGAGGUGAAAGAAGAGAAAGAGCAGCGUUAACGAGAGGUUUCUCUUCAUCACGGUGUUUUUGUUUCGGAGAGGAGUAAAAUGAGAGAUCAGUGGGAUAUACUUACAGUGGAAACUAUAAGAAGGAGAAGAAAGGCAAGUGAUGCUCUGGAGGGUGUGGAGGUGGUUGGAAGUGAGAGAUUUAUGAGAGGAAGAGACUUGAGAAAGACGAGAUUUUGAUUAAAAUGGGGUCCACCGGAGAAGGGACUUCCGAGGGGAGUAGAAGAAAAGCAAUGACGCAACUGCUUUCUGAUUAGAGAGUUUGGUCUCAUGCAUGACACUGAUGUUUUUAUGCGUCUAUGUUUCUCUUCUUGUCUGCUUGACUUGGAAGGAGGAAGCGGUGGAAAUUUCCUUGGAUAAUUUUUUUGUGACUUUCUGCCAUUUUUAAGGCCUGCUUUUAGCUUGCUGUUGAGGUAAUGAUCAUGGGGGUGCACCGAUCAUGGCCUGUUCUCGAGUGAUUUGUUAGCCGAAAGAAUUCGCGAGCUGAAGGUGAUUAUUACGAGACUACAGAUAAUUCUUGGUGACCAGCUGGUGUUUUUGAUUGCUUGAUCACCAAUUAGUUUGAUCCUUAAUUAUUUUAAUCUCUUAAUGGAGAAACCACAAAAAGGUUUGUUUUCAUGAGAAUUGAGAGAGGAUUUAAAUAUAUUUUGGACUCAGUUUCUAAUGUUGGCCAGCUUAACUUGGAAAGUUAAGAAGUAUUUGUUUAUGUGAUUUAUUUUGUUUUAUUAAUUGUUUUUCACAUGAAAAAAAAAAAUAGAUGUUUUUCAACAUUUUGAUAAAUAUAUAUUAAAAAUAAAAAAAUAAAAAAUAUUAUUUUAACAUAUUUUUAAGUUAAAAAAUAUUUUUAUAAAUACAAAAACUGAUGGGAAAUUUAAACUUGCAUUCCAAACGGUAUUUUAUAAAAGUUUAAAUUAUUUUUUUAUUUUUUUAUAUUUUAAUAUUAUUUUAAUACAUUAAAAUAAAAAAUAAUUUAUAAAAAUAAAAAUAUAUUUUAAAACAAAUAAAAUAAUUUGAAAAAUCCCCUACUAAUCAGCAGCAUAUAAGAAAUUUAAAUCGAAUGUUUUUUUUGAGCGCUGAACGUCUGCUUCAUAGUUUCCAGUAUCACUGUAAUGGGCAAAAACAAGUACUGUUGUCUAUUCAAGUGGAGUUUGGGGAUUUGCAAGAAUUUUGGAGUCUUCUUUCGCAGAGAUAAACGACAUUGUAUCAUGUCAAGUAGCAAGUCUCUAUGCCUAUAUUUCUUGACAGUGACCUACCUAAUCUGCUCCCAUCCUUGUCCAGAAGAGAAGAAUUUGUUUGUUUACGUGAUCGUGAUUGUUUUUUAUUUGAUAAUAUAAUUAUAGUUAUUUUUUAAAUAAAUUUUUGUAUUAAAAUAUAUGUUAAUAAUAUUUUUUAUUUUUUAAAAAUUAUUUUUGAUAUUAUUACAUCAAAAUAAUUUAAAAACACUAAAAACAUAUUAAUUUGAAAUUAAUAAAAAAAUAAAAAAAAUUUAAAUUUUUUCAAAAUAAUUUUAAAACAUAAACACAAACAGUCCUAAUCUUAACAAGGGACUAAAAGGGACCUACGAUCGAUCUGUAACGUACAGACUUUUCGUCAAGUUACAAAUACUUCAUCCGUAGGCAACUACCAUUCUGGAAAUCUGGAGGACAGACAACGUAAACAACACAGAAAACAUACUAACGUAGUGACUAGCUAACUGUUCUGUUGUUCAUAUUACUUUUUUGUUUUUACAAUGCUUUAAGUUGCUGUCGUUGUAUCAUCCCAAAUAAUAGAUACUACAGAUAAAGAGGAGUAUUUUAUGGUACAUGCUGCAAAAAACAUUUUCCAGGACGAUGAAUUAGAUCAGUUGAAGAUCUUGUACGUGAUUAUCCAAAUCAUUCACUACUAGAUUUCAUAUACCCAAAUUAAAUCCGGUUUAAAAACUCAGGUGUUAGUCAAUAUUCCUAACCCAAUUUUCAUAAGCUAAAUUUAGAAAAAGAGUUCGGUCCUAGUGAACUAAACCUGUGUAAGUAUAAAAAAUCUCCCAAACACCUAUAUAUUUCUAUGUUGUUAUGUUAUUAAUGUAUAUAUAAUAAAUAUUUUUAUUUUAUUAAAUGCUAUCAAAAAAUAAUAACUUUUCAACCCUCCUAUUCUAUAUUUUUUUUAUAAUUUAAAAGCAAUCAAUUUUCAAUCUUCAAUCUUCAAGAGGGAUUGUGUCACUGAGUCAUAAAGGAUGUCAAUGAAAUUCAAGAUAAUAUAUUCUUUUAUUAUUAUUAACGUGAAUAUCCGAAUCAGUUUAUAUACACUUUAACUAAUCUCACGAACUCUGAAAUUAACGAUAAUAAAAACCUCCAGUGACUUGAAAUUUAUAUGACUCGAACUGGUAAUUUUUACAGAACAAACAUAUACCUUGACCAGUUUAUCUACACUCAACUACACUCUAAAGGGUUGACAAGAUAAUAUACUUGAUUUGGUUGGUAGAUGGUUGGUCUACCCUCCUAUAAAAAAAUACAUGCAUUUGGUACGAUUUUCUUGUGCCACUAAUCAAAGUAUAAUCCUUAAUCCGUCCAAGGAUUAACCAAGCCGUUCCAUCUCUAAAUUCCCCCUCGGAUCAAUCUCUUUCAUGUAACCACCUCCACUUCCCCACACUAAAAAAUAUUAACAUGGUAAUGAUAAUAAUAACUUGACUGACACUCCUGGCUCACAUUUUCCAUGUACUUGUCCGAUUUGUUAACUUCCAGUAGAGGCAUUAUUAGUAUUAUGUUACAAUUCUUUUACGAGAAAGAGCUGAAUGAUUAUAUCCCACUCAAUCAUGAGAGCAUGCUUCGAAGCUAAUAAAGAGAAAGACAGAUGCUCUUUCCAGCUCCUAUUUUUGUUUUCUUGUGACUUGUUUCAAGAAAUCAAGAGUGAUCGAGCUUGAUUUUGAGAAUAAAUACAACAUAAUUUACACAUCUGCAUUGCAUGUCAAGUGAAGGCAGGUACUGUAGUGAUAGCUCACGCAGCAAUAAUAUGUCGGAAGUUGAUUUUUACUCCAACUGGUCCCUUCAUACACACGAAAUGAACAUUUAGAGUCGGAAAUCGCCUGCCUUUCGAGUUAGGAAGCAGAAAUACCUUGUUCUUUUCUGUAGUACGAACAUGUAAACAGUGCGUGACGGCAAUUUCCUACCUAUAGAACAUAAACAUAGAGUUAGGAUUGGAUUACAAAAUCCUUUGCUUUGCAUUGAAGGAAUGCGAUUGACGCGGCAUGGCAAGAAAUCUUUCCCUCAAAUAGCAUUUGGUUUGGUUACUCAAUGUGAUCAUAUGAGAAACUUUGAUGACAUUUAUUACCCCAAAAUAGGUUUCAGUUUAACACUCAUUACACACACUAUAAUAGCACCCACCAGCCGAGGAGCCCCCACAUUCUAAGCACAAACUUCUCAAGUUGUUACUGUGUAUUAAGGCAUAUCUAGAAUCGCAUUCCUCAAGAACCAAAUCCAAUAUAUUUCAUUUUCAAGAUUUUAAGCACACGAGAAUUUUAAAAUACCGGGAUUCCAUGGGGAAAGUCUACUUGACAAUUUGAAAUGCCAUUGACAAAAAAUAGAAACAGAGCUACAUUUUGGAAACAAGAGCAGUGAGGCCCCUACUUUAUGCUUCAACCAUCUGGUCCGGUUCUGAAGCUUCAGCUGACACAACUGGAUAGUAUUUGUAGUGGAGCUCUGAGACAUCAUCGCCAGAUAGUUUCGUCCAUCCAUUUGCUCCCACAUAAUAAACUGUUUGCAAAGCACAAAUUGAAACCACAAAUUAGCUCAUGAAAGCAUGCAUGUACACAGACAUGCACAAGCAAACAAAUGUGAGGAGAGACUCGAGACGAAGGGGGGGUUACCGCUUGCAACUCCACCACUGGCCCCAUCACGGAACGUUGCAUGAUAAAUAGCUCUUCUACCUAACUCUGCAGCUUCUUCAAUUGACAUAUCAAAUCGGUACCUGGCACAAGUGUAAGAAUAUGUUAACAAAAAGUGUGAACUAUAUUUUACAGAACUGCAGGGAAAUGGUAUAAAACUUCAGCAACACUGCUCCGCUGAAGCAAUGAAAGAAAGAUAGGUGUUGUUUUGUUGUCCAAUGCACCAUGUCUUACCCAACACCAUGUCAACUUAUGUAACAUCUAGGAUACAUUAUCAAAAAUCACAAGCACAAAAACUAUUGUUGAGAUCCCAUAUUUUCUCACUUCUUACCAGUGCAAGGCAGCAGGAGCAUUUAGACUUUAGAGGCACUUCUCUAGUUGAUAUCCAGAGGCAUCUGAGGACUUUUCUACUUAUAUUUGAGUCUCUUUUCUUCUGUACCAACACCUAUGCACUCCAUAUUUAAUUUUUUUUACAUUUUACUCCACAACAUUUUCUUCAGCGGAAAAAGGGAGGGAGGCUAAAAAGAUACAUAUAUAACCACCUAAACACUGGAUGAAAUGUGUAGGACCAUAGACAAUCCACUUCCCAAUCAUUUUUUUUAAUCAUGAGUGAAAUGUCCACAAUGAACAAUAUGCUUCUUAUGCUCACAGCCAAUCCUACAAUCUUGUCUUCUCAAUUCUUGAACAUCUCUUAUAAGUUGUUUCUUUUUUUAGCCAGCACAUAAUUUCUACAGGGGUAUUAAUCAUCCUCAACAUUUAUUUCAGCAUUUGCAUGCGCUUCUUGCUCUUUUCUUUCUUCUUCACUGUCCUAUUUUCCAAGUGUUUCCAUGAGAUGUUUCGAACAAGACAGAGACUCAAGCUAAAGGCUAGUUAUCUAAUCAACAAAUGCUUAAAAACUUAUUUUCCAGGAAUACUUCUGUCAGAUGACAGUCAAUAAUAAGAAAAAAUCAUUAACAGGAAAGUGAACUCACCCACUAUCCAGUACACCAUAUGCAUAUGGAGAACCAGAUCCAACAGAGAAUCUUGUUCCUUUCAGCCUUCCACCUUCACUGUCCACAUAAUAUAGUCCAGGACCCUGCAACAAAGAGAAUAUAACUUAGGUUAUGCAAGUUACUAAAGGAAAACAUGGCAAGGUAACAUUCACAUGUCAUUACCGUUUCAUCCCAACCAGCAAUCAUUGUCCCAACAGACAAGCCCAUUCCACGGUAAGAGAACAGAAUGUUUGCCAGAAGCUUUGAUGCCCCUGUAACUGAAAUUCUACGCUUGUUUGCCAAUUCAUGUAGUCGGCACUGAAUUAUACCCAAAAAAAAUCCAAUAAGCAAUGAGCAUAAAAGCACACAAUUACAAAUGAACAUCAAACAAUCUACGUAGCCUAACCCAGAUUCAAUGUUAGGAAGCAAAUACAUCCAAGCACAUAGAAGCACCCAAACUAAUUUUCCACGACUUUGUGAUUAUGUAACUAUACUUCAUUAGACUUGGCUACUCAAUAAGUAUUCUGGAAGGAUAUUCCUAUGCCUAGCCUGACAAAUCAUUUGACUAAGGUUUUCAAUAGAUAAUUUAAUUGAAUGUGGAGUUUUCACGUAGAGAAAAACAUGUAUCUUUAUCGUACAACUUCACUUCAUCUACUAUGAAACAGGACAGUAUUAGUGAAAUAAAACAGGUCUCAGUUUAAAAAUUUAUAAGCAUAAUUUAGUUACAUUUGCAUUGGACAUUGAAAGCAUUGGAUGGGGCAUUCAUAGAAAUUUUCUGUGAUUAAAUUGACAACAUUAUCAGAUCAAUGAAUAAAAUUUUCCACUGCCUUCCCCAUUUUUCCUGACAUAGAUUGGCUACGUGUGGAGAGCAUCACCCUCAUUUCAAAAGAUAUUUUGAACUAGUUUUACAGUCUUGACAGUCCUUGAGUGACUGAGAAACACAAACUUAGCAACAAAAUUGUAAGACCAUUGAAUGUGCAAACAAGAGAAAAUAUGAUAAUGCAAAUGUCACAUAAAAAGCCAUGAAGCUAUCAAGACUAGCCCAGUGAAGCAUGAACCACUACCGACUUCACUAAGCAAUCUAGUGAGCUGUACUUAAUGCAUCUAUUAGGGAGAAAAGGAGAGGUGGUUUGGCCAAUAGAGCCUGGUUAUUGCCAAAGAUUUAAAACACCACAUAUGCUGUUUCCUAUCAGGUCAAUAGACACAACUCCAAAAUCUUUACAAACAGGAAAACUUUGCCUAUGAAUUCUUCAUGCCCAUAGGUUUUGCCUUGCCCACGAGGAUAUCUAUUAUCAGUUAACAAUUCUAGCAUUGCAGGAGUUCUUACUAAUAGAUAACAGGUCCAUGGACGUAGGAAAACUGUGGAGAAACAAACACAAGUAUACAACCUUAAUGCCCAAAUUUCUGUGCCAAAACUGGCAAUCAGCAGCUCCACCAGCCAUUGUACCAAGCAUGUAGGGAUUGAUUUCAAUGAUUUUUUUAACUGACUGUGAUGCUGAAAAAAAAUCAAGGAAAGAUUAAAAAAGUAGCACUGGAGAAACCAUGGGAAAGAUCAAUAUUAAUGCUGGAAACAUCUAUUGAUGGCAUGCAAGCGAUGAGGAUGGCUACACAACACAGCUUGAAAUAAACCAAGACAAUGACCAACACCAAGUGGAAUGCAUGCUCAUCCUACAAAAAAAUUUGCAACAUGUCUAGGUUUCCCUAUUACUAAAGCUAGUAGAUCUGAUGGAACACUUUACACCAGCAGCAUUUAAUCUAAGAAAAAAAACAAGAUUCCACAAACAACCACACAUUUAUAUAACAAUACAGUAAACCACAACUUUACCCAAACAUAAAUUGAAUAAACAUACAAACAUACCCUCCCCACAAACAUUUAGCAAAACAAUAAACCAGAAUUUUAUCCAAACAAACAAAUGAAUAAACAUACAAAUAUAGCCCCCCAUGCUAGCACGAGAAUCAGCUGCAACAAUGACACCCUCCUUAAAGAUAAAGGCCAGCGUAGUUGUCCCCUUAGCCGGCUUCACCAUCUGUACAGCUUCCUUCUGGAAGCCAUCAAACUGGAACCAAAACGCAAAAUAAAACUCAACCCACUAACAAUUCUGACUUUCUCCACACAAAUCGCAAACAUAGAAUAGUAUGACAAAUAAAACUAAAACUUACAUCCUUAGUCGUGGGUAGCUCAAAAGCUGGAGCAGCAGCAGCAGAAAACCCAUCAACAAGCUCCCUACCGGCGGUUCCAAAGACCGAGGCAGUGGAUUCGAGACCACUAGUAUCAAACUUCAUUAUCUAAAAAAGCAAGCAACACUAUAACUUCAGCACUAAAAGCCCUAAUUCCUGUCACUGAAAAAUCAAUUCGUCAAAAUUAACCGCACAAAUUUAGAAACAUGAGAUCGCAAACCUUAAUCUCUUGUUUUAUCACAUCAAACAUAUAUAAAGCUUAGAAUUAACGAAUUAAAUGUUGUUAAAGGCGCUAAAACAUGUGAUUGGGAUUUUGUAAAACCCUAAAAAAGUGAUGCAUGUUUGUGUAACAUACCUUCGGAUUUAGCGAGAAAGAGAAGAAAUACGUGCAGAGAUCGAGUAUGAUUACUGGUUACUGGAUCUCGAGUUUAAUAGAACUAAGAUUGCUGGGUUUUAUAAAGCUAGAACUUUUCUUGUUCACCGGGCAAGGGCAGGGACUCUGGACCGGGCUUUCAUUUGGGCCUUUUGAAAUUCAGUAACUUAAGCUUUUGGACCGAGUCUAAGCGGACUUAGACUUGGACUUGGACUUGGAUUUGGAAUUGGAUUUGGGUUUGGGUUUUCACCCAAUUAUUUAGAAAUAAGUCUAUGUUUUCCAGUUUAAAACCCUUUCUCAGUUUAUCGGCUUGUCAUUCUUAGGAGCACUUCAAUAGUCAUAUAAAAUAGCAUAAAAUCACCAAAAUUAUUAGGAAGGAGAAGAGUCCAUUUUUAGAGUUAUUUCCCCUCUGCACUGGGUUAUCUGUACAGCCAUUUUUUAAAACUAGAAAAAAUUGAGUAUAGAGAUAAAUUAUUUAAAAUAUUCUAGUGUUCAUUGGGUGAAUGAAAAGGAACUAAAACUUGGAAAAUAUUUAGCUCUUUUUUUUGCAUGGUUUCUUUCAUUUACCACAUAAGGACAAAUAAAUAUUUUCCCUUUUUUAUUGUAGGGUGAAAUGAUUCAAAUAUCCUUAAAAGCAAAAAAAAUUAAAUUAAACCUAGUGUUAAGGGGUAUUUUUGAAUUUUCACAAUAUUUUUUUGUUGUUAAUUGAAGCCUAAUGGAACUUUGGUAUUGGCACAAAUAUAAAAAAUAAUAAACAGAUAAAAUUCACAAUGAAACUACAAAAAUAUCAUUAAAAUGAAAAUUUAAGCAUGGGGUUAGGGGGUGUUUUCGGCUUUUCACAAUGAUUUUCUUAAAAUUAUAAAGUCAACUUGAGGGAAUUUGAUGUUUGACUAAAUAAAAAAAAAUGAGUGUGCUCGAGGGCAAGUAAGAGGCAUCUAAGCCUUUCGAAUAACAUCUCCCAACACCCAGAAAUAUUCUUUCAUCAUGUUAUUUGAAGCACCGCUAUGUUCUCUUCUUGUUGGUACAACACGUAUCUAUAUUGGUGGUCCGAUUUGAUACUGAUGGGCCUUUCUUUUUAAUUUAACCCUUUAAUUACAACAUUGUUUAUAUUUUUUAUAUCAAUUUUAGUACUCAUUCUUUUAAAAUGUUUUUGGUCCUUUUACUAGAUAGAUUAUUUUUCACUUUCACACUUUAAAUUAAAUAUAAAUUUUAUUUUAUAUUUUAAUUCCUAUUUUUUAAAAAAAUUCUUUUUCAUGAUUAAAAUUUAUUUUUCAAUUUCAUCAUUUAACAUUUGAUUGAUUGAGAAUUAAACUUCAUGAUUUUUUCAGAUUAGAUGUUUCAAGUCUAAAGAAUCGAUCAUGUUUUUUUUUUUUUAAAGAAGGGCUUUAUAGCCCUCUUAAUUUUUUUUAUCUGAUUAUUUAAAACUUAUGAUUUGAUUCGCUAGUUUAAUGGGACAUCCAUAGUUAACUUUGUCUUGAUUAUCGAUGUUACAUGUUUUUUAGGACUAUUUUUAUGUCAUUUUCUAUCUCAUUUUUUAAAAAAUAAUAAUCAAGCCUGCAAUAAAACACAAGCAUCAAGGCAGGUGCUAAUCUAAAUAUAUAAAGAGAAUACAUAUAUUUAGCACAUUAUAUCCAAUAAAUAGAUAAGGAAAUUCAAUUUUCUCAACAAGAAAGAUGGCUCCUAGUUGAAACUUGAAAGUAGAGGCAUUUGCAUUUUCAAGUUACAAAGUUGUGUUGAUGAUUUUUUGAUUUAAAAUCUAUUAUGAAUUGAGUUUUAUUUCAAAUUGGUGUUAAUUUUUUCACCAAAACUAACAUUGUUUAAUUUUUUUAUUUUCUUAAAACAUAAUUUGAGUUGACUUGCUUAUUCAUUGAUCAAUCUAUAUAAAUUGUAACCCGAGUCGAGCUUUGAGCGGGAUAAAUCUCAAGAUUUGUUUUUUUUAUUCACAUGGGUGUCUGGGCCAGCUUGCGUGUAUCUUGACUAAUCUUCACGGACCCUGAAGUUAACGAUCAUGUAAGUCUUUUGUGGCCAUCAAUAUUAGCAACUACAUGGCUCGAAUAUGAAAUUAUAGGAAAAACAAACCCUUUAAUUUCAAACUCUUAUCAAUGGACUACCUAUUAAAUUAUUAAUAUCAAGAUUAGUUCUUAUAGACAUGGUAAUUAUUUCCUUACCCUUAUUCUCCAAAGAGACCACAUGUGCAUUUGAAGGAUAGGGCAGGCAGUUAAGAUUGGCAGUUCGGACCAUUACAAGCAGUCAUUUUACUGUUCAGCUUUGCGCAGUAGUUGUCAUGCGAAGAACAUGGACAGACACUGCCAAGACUUGAAGAUCACCUCACAUGCAUCAAGUGACUGUCCAUAAUUUUUUUUUUUUUUUUUUUUUUUUUUUGCAUCAAGUGACUGUCCAUAAUUAAUAUCGUGGUGGUACAACCAUUUCACUGCCCCCGCCGAUAAUGCCCGCCGCUAUAAAGAGUCAAAGCUUUCCCCACCCAAAAAUAUAAAAAUAAAUUUGGUUGUUUUUUAUUUAUUUAUUAAUAUAUUUAUUCGAAUUAGUUCACGAACCUAAAUUAAUCUCGUAGCUCAAAAAAUUAACAAUUAUACAAAUUUUUAGUAGUUCUGAAAUUUAUAAAAUUCAAACUGAUAAUUUUUAAAAAACAAAUGUAAAAAUUGACUAGUUGAGUUAUAUCUUUUAAGAUUCAUAAAUUUAGUUAUUUGUUUUCUAAUAACAAAUAUUCGACCAUUCAAUUUGUAAAUACUAAGAAUUUGGGGUUAUGACUUGUAAUAAAAUAAAAUUAUUAUUAUGUUUGAUAACAAAAAUAAUUUUGAAAGGCAAAUUUUAAAAAAACUUCAUUUUGUAAAAAAUGUUUAAUUUAAAUAAAAAAUUAUUCUUAAUACAAAAUAUAAAAAAUAAAUAUAAAUCAAUUUACAACAGCUAUAUCAAACAAAACCUAAAUUAAUAACAGGUUUUACAAAACUCUACCAUUCAAGGCCAUAAUCUCACAUCCCUUCCAUCUCUCAGGUUCUAACCAAGACGUUUGCAGGUAGUCUCCACCCAACCCAAGCCUAUCUUGAGCAGUUUUUGAAAAAUCUGUCUGGAAACUGAUAUUACUAAUAAAUAGUUUUAACCUAGGGAAGGUUAAUCUAAGCUAAUUUAAAAUGACGUGGUUUCAGGAUUUUUUAAAUAUAUCUUGAAACCAUGUUUUUUUUGUUUUAAAUAAUUAGGUUUUAAUUGAGUUUUGUCUUCAUCACAAGUUAAUUUAUUAAAUUUAUCAAAUCAACCUAUAAAUUAAUUAUAUAUAAAAUUCAACUUAAAUCAAAUAUAAAAUAAAUGACUUAACAAGUUAAUCGAAUUAGGUGUGUUUAACAUUGUUUUUGGAAAGCAAUUUUGAUAAAAUUUAAUUUUUUUUAUUUUUUUAAAUUAAUAUUUUUAUAUUUUCAAAUCAUUUUGAUAUAUUAUUGUCAAGAAUAAUUUUUGCAUAAUAUUUCAUUAGCUAAGAUUUAAUUCAUUAAAAACACAUUGAAAUGUGAGCACUAGCAUUUAAAGCCGGAUACAAGAUUACAGAGUACCAUAGAGAGAGUUGAAUUAAGGAAUGUUGGAUUAUUAAAUAAAAAAUUUAAUUAUCGUUAUAGCAGUUCCAAAAAAAAUCAUUAUAGGGAAUGUAUUUCAGAUAUCGUAGACGUUUUUCUGGUCCAUGAUUGUAGCCAGUCUUGAUUUCUUGCUGUUGCUGUUGUUUUAUUUAUUUAAUAUAUUUUCUAAUAAAACCCUUCUUUUAAUAUUUUUUUUAGAGAGAAAACAAAACAUCUUGAUUUAUCCCAAGAAAAUAAGAACAGAAAGACAGCCUUUAUUUUCUGUAAAUGCUUAUAAUUUACAUUACACAGCUUAUUGCGCACAGUGAGUAUGGUAGCACAGAGUCAUUUAAAGAGGUAAUUUAACUCAUCUCUUCUUUCAGAUCUAAAUUUAAAUACACAAAACCACAAAUUUGUAAUGAAGCAGCUAUCCAUGACAUUUGAAUUUUUUGGGUAAACUUCAUUUUUACCCCUAAAAAUUCCCCAAUGUGAAAGCUCAACCAAUUUUAGCUCAUCAUUAAAGGAGAUUUUAAAUUAUAAAAGUGAUAAAGGCAAAAUUGAAAUUCAAUUUCUUUUAGUUAUUGACAAUGAUACUAGAAACGUGAAUUGCCAUAUACAGGAGUGGUGUGUUUGACAUGGUGAUGUAUGUAGGGUGUUUUUUAAAAUAGAUUUUUGUUUGAAAAUAAAUUAAAAUAUGUUUUUUAUUUUUUAAAAUUUUUUAACAUUAUGUAUCAAAAAUAAACAUGAAACACUAAAAAAAUUAUUUUAUUAUUUUUUAAAGCUAAAAGCAAAAUCCCUCCUCAACAUACUCGUACCUAUGAAGUGUUUUGGUAAGUUAGCAUAUUUUAAAAAAUAAUUUAUAAAGCAACAUAAACACAUAAAUAAUUAGGAAUCUAGCACACUUGAGUGAGUCGCAUAUGCCAUUUAUGACUCGUGUUUUGAAGAUAGUAUUUACAACUCUUCUAACAUAGACAUCCAGAAAUAGUCUAUUCUGCCAUUAACUCUCUACAAGAUAAAAACAACAAUUCACACAAUCACAAAUAACCAAUUCUCCACUAUUAAAACACAAUUUACAUAAGCAACAGAUAAUAUAUUAAAUCACAUAUAACAAAUAUACAUUGACAUUUAAAACAACAUAAUAUUUUAUAAAAAAUUAAAUUGACUAUACAUCUAUCCUCAAUUACCAUAACAAAUAAUAAUAUGUAAUUAUAUCUAAUAAUCUCCCUUUUCGUCUAACUCGAGGUCAAUUAUGUAAUAUCCAUAUAAGUUUAAGGAGAAUCAAUAUUAUCCUAGCUCUUGGACGGACUUAGACACUCAUGAAUGUACAUGGGAUGCUUGUGGAUGGGCCAACAUCUCCACUCCCAUGAUAAGCAAUCUCAUCUUCUUGUUAAUGUUGUUUCAAGACACUUAAUCUCCCUAAUUUCUUGGAGUUUGCCAUAACAUAAAUUGAGCGUGGUGUUGGCCACAACACAUUUCAUAUCAUCGACGCCUUCAUGGAUAACUAUUGCUGCUUUCUGAGCUCCUCUGGUUCGAACCAUGUCUAUCUCAAGGUCUUAGUAUAAAAAAAUUAUUGGCAUUUGCAAUUUCAUUAAAGUUGACAUAAUUUAAAACAAAUAUAUAAAAAAUAACAUAAGCUAUCUAAUUUUGCAAAUUUCUCUGCAAAUUGGUCCACCUACAUAGUAAGCUUGAGUAACCCAGGUUUACAAUAUCUUCCAAGUAAUUUCUAUUUCUAUUUUAAAAAUAUUAUAGCCAAGUAGACCAUAUAACAUUCUCGAUAAUUUAUUAAGGGACAUGUUCGAUUUAGUAGAUAGAAAUUCAUGACUUCCUCCAUUAUAAGUAAUACCAUUGUUAGUAUUGACAAUGAUAUUACAAUGGAAUUAUAAUAUUCCUAAAUUACUAGAGAUUUUGUUUAACAACACAACCAAACACGAUUAUAUUUUAUUAAUAUCUUGAGGUUAAUCAAAGUAUAUCAAUUAUCAACAAAACAUUAAUUGAUUAACGAACACCUACAUUCAUCAAAUUAAUCGGCGAGUCUUUACACUCAUCAAAUUUUGAUGUCGUAACAAAAUUAUCAAAUAAAUUCAUAUAUUUCAUAGCUAGUAUUAUUAUUUUAUAUAAAAUUCGAUAUAAUUUAUAAUUUAACCAAAAUCGAUACUAAUUAUCUCAUCACAUGAUUAUUUUAACUCACAAUCAUCGUCAACAACAAAACAUUGUUGAUUAUUUAACAAAAUAAUCAAACUAUCAACUAAAAAAUAUCUAAGAAGCCUAAAAUAACUGAUAAUAAAAUAAAAUAACAUAAUUUUAUCUAAUUUACAACUUCAAUUACAUCUAAUUAUCAUAAUUCUUAAUUCAAAACUUGUUAAUUCAAUAAAACCAAAUUAACACUAAUUAAAUAUAAAUUACAUCAAAUUAAUUGAGGGAAAGUAUUGGAUACAUCUUUAGGAGUGAAAUGUGAGUGAUGAGAGUGAUCGAUGGUGGUUGGCUUGGCCGGAAAAUCCAACAUCAACUGCUAGUAGAGAGAGAAAGCUUGGUUGUAGCAGGUUUCGUAAAAAGAGAAAAAGAUGAUUGUUUUAGAUAAAGGGGAAUGUUUUAGGGCCGGGGGUAUUUUUAGCUGUGGAAAGAGAGGUCUUGACCGGUGUUGAGAGAGGAGCAGGAAAAAGAGAGAAAAUAAGAGAAAGAAAAAAGAUAGAUGGUUUUAAUUUGAAAUGAAUUGCAAAUAUCAUCUGCAAUUUAUUCAAGUAUGUUUACUAGAUAUUUUUUUAGUUAUGUUAUUUAUCGAUUUUUUUUGUUUGUGUUAAAAAAGAAAAAAAUCACGUGCUCAUGGGCGAUGACAUUGUGAUAUCUAAUAAAAGAGUCACGGUGAAAUAGGACGGCGGCAAGAAGAUUUUAACCUUUGAGAAGAAAUUAUAGGGUUUGGAGGAUGAGUAAAAAAGCAGCAGACAAGUUAGAUUUUGAAAAGUCGUAAGAGCCACUCAUUUCCACUUUAAAAAGAAAGCAGUCAACGCGAAUCCAGUACAUGUAGGGCUCACCCCUAGUCCUCCUAUUAAUGAUGCUGUCUAAGGAAUUAAGUUUGCAUAUGCAUGACCAUGAGCACCAUCCAUGCAUCACGACACUUCUCUUUUAUUAUUUAAUUGCCUUGAAAUCGUGCUCUCUUUUAUUAUUUUAUUAUAAAAAAACAUUUUUUAUUUUUUAAAAUAAAUAUGCCUUUUUGAAUUGAAUUUCUACAGGUUUUAAAAUAGACAAUAUUUUUUUAAUUCUUAAAAUGUUUUACAUCAAAAUCAAAGAUCAAAAGCUAAAGAAUUUUAACACUUAUUUAAAUAAUUUUAGCCUGUAAGUAACUUUUUACAUUAAAAUUAUAGAAUAUUAAUUUUUACAAGCAGUUGUUUGCAAACCGAUAUAUUUAUUUUUGUUUGCACAAAUGAAAGACCUUUCUUCUAUGGAAUCGUAUCAAUUCGCAUAAUUGGUCGAAUGAGUGAGAGAUGAUAUAAUUAUUAGAGGCAAAUUCAUAGUGAAAAGAGUACUCUAAUUGCAUGAAUCCAAGUUGUUUUGCUCAAGGAUAUCAUGCAACUACUGAAGGAUCAACCAAGAUGAGGGGCACGGCUUAACACGUUGUUUGUAAUUAUUGAUUAUUUAUUGUAAUUGAAUUUAAUUAUAAUAUUUUAUUUAAAUUUAAUAAAUAAAUAAAUUAAAUUUACAUAUUUAAAAAUGAUAAAAUUCAAUUUAUUUUGUUUCUUAUAUCACAUUUAUUACCUUAAUCUUAUCUUUUCAAUUGUAUUUUUUUAAAAAAGCUAGAUAAAUAUUUUAGAAAAGUUAAUUUUAACAUUAAGUUUAUUUAUUUUGAAAUUGUAAAUUAAAAGGAUUAAUCUCUGAUUCUGAUUUAUUUUUACGAUGUUUUUAGAUAUUAAAUUGUAUUUAAAACUCAAUUCUUAAUACUAAAAAGAAUUUCAAAUAUAAAAUUUUAUUAAUAUCAAAUUUAAUUCAAUUUAGAGUAUUCCAAACAUAGUGUUAGAAUACACGGAAGCUAUUAAUUACUAUUUCAAUAGUUCAAUUUAAUCAAGACUAUAUAUUAUAGGGUGAAUCUUUUCUUCUCGUGGCAAAUUAGGUGCUUAAAAUGUGGUCAAAGGCUCUGUGUGACUCGACGCACUGUAGAAUUAUGGAGCCGCACGUUAAUUAGAUGCAAUUUAGACGCCAAACACCUUUUGGAUUCGAAGACUAAUCAUGCAUUUGUUAUCCAUGCUCCCAGGAGCCAAGACCCACCGGCCACCUGUUUCAGCUUUCGGCCAUAUGCAUGAUGCUUGCUGGCCCUACAUCUCCGAAUCGCUGUACCAUUUCCCCCUCCUACCCGAUUCAUAUUUAAAAUCAAUGGCAUCCACGUGUAUAUAUCAUCUCGCAAAUUAACUAUUAUUAUUAUUAUUAUUAUUAAAUAACAAUUGUGUAAAUGUUUAAUAAUUUUGAAAGAACUCAAACUCAAAUUUAUAAUUAUUGAAAAGCAAAUCUAAAAUCUAAUUAUACAUUCAUACUUUUUAAUUUAAUAAGCGAGUAGUUUAUAUAUUGAUGCUCGUAUGAAACAGGGGUAUAAUUUAAUUUUUGAAGCAAAAAACUAAUGACAAUGGAGUUACUUCUUAAUUAAAUGCUUUUUCUUAAAAGUAGCGAUGCAUCAUUUGGUUUUUUACUUUUUAUAUUAAUUGAAUUUUAAUGCCUUAGCAGCAGCAGGCAGCAAUAUGAUUUUUAUCGUGCAGUUUUUACUCUCUUUUUUCUAUCGUUGUUUAUUUAUCCUGUAUUAACUGGUCUUCAAACCUCGGAGACUAUAAUAAUCUUAAUAUAUAGUAUUAUGUUUACUCGACCAAGGAUAUACGAAAGAACUCAUUGUCUGCUCCAUGGAAUUCUUUUUUCUAGACGAGAUUAGUGCUCAACAACCUGAGACGAUGACAUGCGUAGAAGUUUGUGGGCAGUACAGUUGACUCACACUCCUCUUGAAAACCUGGUGGCGCAUUGUCAUGCUAGACGCGAGUGGGAAGUAUGGAUUCCCAUUUUUGCUGAACUGUCCCCACUCAAUAAAUAUUGCAGUGCUAAAUGUUUUCGAUUUAUUUAUCUUUCUCGCUACUUGGAGAAAAAAAUAUCUUUAUUGAAGGAGAAAAAAACUGAAAAAUUAAUUAAAUUGAGAAAAUAAAAAAAAACUAAAAAAAUUAAACUGUAAAAAAAACCCAAUUAAAUCGAUUAAAAUUUUAAAAAUAUCAAAAAAAUCAAACCGAAACAAAAAAAAACCAAGCCAAAACUGGAAAACCAAUCUAACCGAGCUAAAAUUGAAAAAAUCGAGCCAAAUUGGUUUGAAUUGGUUUUUGUCUUAAAAAACCAAACCGAAACCGGCCGGUUCAAACCGGCUUUGGUUUUUUUUUUUGGAAAAUAAAUUUAAUUUAGUUAUUUUUUUUAUAAAACCAAACUGAACUAAAAAUAAUCACUUUAAUUUUCAUGUCAAUGAAAUGAAAUGAAAGGAUACAAAAAUUGUUCUCUCCUUUGCUUGGGAAUCUUUUCUCAAUGUGGUUAAAAAAUAACAUUCGUCAAACGCUUGACUUUACUUUGAAAAUGUUUACUUUAAAAAUAUUUAAAAAUAUAGUAGUAAUUACAAUUUAAAAUAUAUUUUAUUUAAAAAUAUAUUAAAAUAAUAUUUUUUAUUUUUAUAAAAUUAAUUUUGAUAUCAAUAUAUCAAAACAAUUUAAAAAUAUAAAAAAUAAUUUUAAGAAAAAUAUAACUUCAACCACCAUUUCAAAAACUAUUUUCAUAUGAUAUGGAAUAGCCGCAUGGUGUUUUGACUCAAAGACGUGUUGCAGGUGUUCCUUGUGUGCCAUAGAACUAUGUUCAACGUUUUUUUAUUUUUUAAUAAUGCUGUAUCAAUUACCCAACUGAAUAUUUAAUAUAAAAUUAUAAAUCACUCCAAGUUUUCGUCCAUUCAUCUUAAUAUAGUUCCGUUUUUUUUUUUUUUUGCAAAUUUAUUACAUCAUGGUCAUUUUGAUUAGUUUAAAGUUCAAGUCACUUCAUCAACUUGCUUUAUAUUCGUUUCGUUCAUCAAUCCCUUCUACACGCCCUCGUGUGUGUAUAAAUACAAAGUAAUAUUUUUUAAAUUCUUUUAUCUUAAUUUGACACCUUCUUCACGACUUGCCCUUCGUAUACUUCACGUCUUAUUUAUUUAAGUGGUUAUUUUUAAAAGUAUUUUUUUAAAAAAUAUAUAUUAAAAUAAUAUUUUAUUUAUUUUUAUAAAUUUAUUUUUAAAUUCAGCACAUUAAAAUAAUUUAAAAAUAAAAAAAAUAUUAAUUUAAAAUAAAAAAAUAAUUUUUUAAAAUUUUUUUAAAACAUAAAAAUAAACAGAACAAAAUAGGGCAGAAGUCCUUCUCUGUAUGUAUAUAGCUCUUUUCUUUUUUUUUUUUUUUUUUAUUUUUAGAGAAGAAGUUUGAAUCCAAAAUCUAUCAAGGAAAAAAAAAGGAUAUUAAUACUGAUUGAAAUUUCUGUAGAAUUUCUCAAGGAUUUGACUGAUAAAGAUAAAAGGACGAGAAGAUUUUACAAAAAGAUAUUUCUAGGAAAAAAACAAGAACCAAAAAAAAGCCUCUUGUAUCAGAUAUGCUUAAUUAAGCAAGUUCGGGAGCUUAGGUCAAUAUAUAGAUUGCCGUAUAAGGUCAAAAGGAUUGAUGUGAAGUAGAAGCAACGAAAGAAAGGCCAAUGAUCCUCAACCUGUGGAGAAGACUUGCUUAAAUUCACACAUAUCUUGCCUGAAAGGUAGAUAGAUGCGAACAGAAAAAGCUUGCAAAUCAAUCGGUGGUUGGAUCGAUGCCUGACUUCGGAGGUAAGAUAGAACAAAAUUUAUCCCAUAUCCCAUGUGAUUGAAAUGAUAAAAAGUCACGUGAUCAGGAAAAAAAGUUUUCACAGUUCUUGCUACUUUACUUCUCAAAUUCAAUUUCGAAUUAAUGAUUAUUAUCACUAGUUUUUUUCUCUAUUUUUGAAGGAACUUUUCAUUUACAUAAACCUAUUUGAACAAUGGCACACGCACAAAGAGAGUUUUUGAUAAAAAGGUUUUUGGCCUGACCGCACCAAGCACUCGUGGGCCUCGAUCGAGUGCUUGGACCCGAUACAUGUUUCAAUACCUCAUGGAUCUUAUCUUGUGACCUAAACUAAACACUUAGCCUUUGUAAUUUUUGUAUUACCCAAGUUUUUUAGCUUGGAUUCUACUUUAUAUACACUUCUAAAUAUACAAGAGUCUCUCAUGAUAUCAUAUUAAUGUUUAUAUUAAAAAUAUUUGUUAUUUAUUAAUGUAGAUGUAAGAGAUAUUUAUUUUUUAUUAAUGCAUGUUCAAGUAAUAUUUAUCAUAUAAACAAGGGAUUAACAAUUUUCAUUCUUAAAGUACUAGCAUCAUUUUUUUAUAAAUACUUAUUUCAUAUUAAAACAAGAAUAAAUAAUUUUAUUUUUAGAAUUAAAUACUCUUUUGAGUAUUUUUCUCUACGAGUGAGCAUUUAAGGGUCACAAAUCCAUAAAGAGAGAACUAUUUUGAAAUAUGGAUUUAAAAUUCUUACACCAACCUAUCACCUUCCAUUAUUGAAGUAUGGAUUUAAUAGCAUAAGCACUUAAUUAAUUUUGUUAUCCAACCACCGAAAAAACCAUAGUUCCAAGCAACUUGAAUUUUAAUACAUUGUUAGUUAUAAAAGAUCUUACUACCAGAUAUUGAAGGUUAGUUUACAAAAUACAGGCAGUCUUAAUUUUAUCAUUAAAUAAUUUUAUUGCGUCCAUUAUACUUCUUACUUUAAUUUUUAUUAAGAAUUCUCGUCCAUUUUAAAGUUUUCAUCCGUAUUUUUGUUCAAGCUGCAUUGUGUUUUUUAUUAAUAAAAGAUGUUAUUUUAAAAAUAAUUGUUUGGUGAUUUAACAACAUUCUUUAAUAAUAAUAAAAUAAAUUAGUACAUGUAAAAUAAAUUUUCCACUGCAAUGACAUCGUUGAUGGUUGCCCCGAAAUUGAAUUAAAAGACAGUAAGAGAUGUUAUUGAAUCAGAAGACACCAACAUGUGAGAAAACCAUCUUGGAGAGAAACCUUUCUUUUUUAGCUCAGUUAUUGAAAUAAAGAAAAAGACACACGACUUGUUUCUGGAUUUAUGAAUAGUUUGGAAAUGUGGUGUAAAUCUUGUUUUUUAAAAAUUUAAUUUUUUUUUGUUAAAAAUUUAAUUUUUUAUGUGUUUUAGAUUGUUUUGAUAUACUGAUCUAAAAAAUAAUUUUUUUUAAAAAAAUAUUAUUUUAAUAUACUCAAUAUAAAAUUUUUUUGUAAAAAAUAAUAACAACAUUAUUUUUAUAUAAAAAUUAAAAAAAAUAGAUGGAAAUUCACUUGUGGAGGCGUAUUCAUGAUUGGAUAUCCAUUUGUACGUGUAAUUAAACAUUUUUAACUAUCAUCGGAGGUUUAGUAUGAUUUUCAUGUUAUCAUGUACUUUUGAAUCAUGUAAGUGUUGAAAAACAUUUUUAAGGUUAGAUUUUUAAAUUAAGUGACAACUUAGGCUUAGAGUCCAUUGAAUUUUAGUUGUACGGCAAACACGUCUAUAAAUAAUGAAGAUGAAAAACAUUAAGUUAUAUACAAAGAGUCUUUAGUCCGGUCAACAUAAAUAAUUAGUGAAAGUUCUAUGUUUUUUUUUAUCAAGACACAAUAAUUUAAAGGAUCUAGUAUGGAUUAAAAGAUGCUUAAUUCUUGAUGACACUAAUUUUAUGGAUGAUUUCUUUAACACUAAGAGUGUAUUUGGGAAAAUCAUGUUUUUUUAAAAUUAUUUUUUUAAUGUUUUUAUAUGUUGAUCUCAAAAAUAAUUUUUUUAAAAUAAAAAAAAUAUCAUUUUAAUAUAUUUAUAAACGAAAAUUACUUUGAACCAUCACCACUACCACCCAAACAGACUCUUAAUCAAUUAUAAUAGGCAAUAUGUAUUUUAUUAAUUUUUUAUUGUGUUUAUAUACUUAUCAUAUUAAAAUUAUCUGCCAGUAAAAAAAUAUUGUGAAUAUAUAUAUGACUGUGAAAAACCUUACUUCGAUAAUACAUUCAUAGUUCUAGAAAAAUCAAAACUUAUUUAAAUACAUGUAUAGUUUGGUGCUUUGCACGAACUAAUAAAUUGGUCCUCACAAGUCACAACAGCAUGGCAUGGGACUUACCAUUUAGAUAGAAACACUACCUUUUAAUCGACACGUGUACUCCUUGCAUUGUUACAUUAUUGUUUCUUUUUUUUAAAAAAAAAUCGAUAUAUCUUUGAAUUAAGCUAAGUUUAAAUCAUGGCUAGAUUAAGAAACAUGACAUGAUUAAAAUGUGCCACGUGUCUAUAAUAGAAUUUUGACACAUGUUUUUUUAUUAACAUUUAUAUUUCUUAUUUAUUUAUAAUUUAUAAUUUUAUAAUAAACAUUGUUUAAAAUAUUUAGUUUUGAACAUGAAAUAUCUUUUGAUCGCAUCACAUAUUCCAGAAAAAAUACAAAAAUAAAUGUUAAUUUUUACUUUUAAGAAAACAAGGAUGCACAAUCAUGUAAGAUUAGAUAAAUAACGAGCAUUCAAGUUGGAUAAAGUGUAAAAGAAUCAAUUUAAUUAAAAAUCUUAAAAUGUUAGGUUUAAAAUAUAAUAUAUAUUAUUUUUUAAUAUAAUUUUUCAAAUAAUUUUUUUUUUAACUUGAAACUUGUAUAUGACUACAUUGUUUUAUAUUUAAUUUUUUAUCAAAUAAACAAGGAAUGUAAAAUUUAAACUCGUGACCGCUUGAUUAUUAUGAUUCUAAUAUCAUGUUAAUAAACUAUUUUAAUUUAAAAUUUAAAAUUAUAAAAUAUAAUUUAUAUAUAAAUUAUCAAAGUGCAAAGCUAGUUAGAAAUUAAUUUGAUUGGACAAAAGCCACAUUGUUUUCUCCCGAGAGAAACGAGAAGCAAUAGUAAUUUGUUUUCUUUCCAGUUAAAUAAUGGCGAGGCACGAGGUGUCCUUUGAUUAGCUUGGUUGUCUUUACAUUAUCCAGGAAGUAUUAUUCUAAUGAGAUUUUAAUUAAUUUAACUUGUAUUGCCACGUACACAGUUCAUGUACUUUGAAUAGCUUGGUUGUCUUUAUAUUAUAUAGGAAGUAUUAUUCCAAUGAGAUUUUAAUUAAUUUAACUUGUAUUGCCACAUACACAGUUCAUGUACUUUGAUUAGCUUCGUUGUCCUUAUAUUAUCGAGGAAGUGUUACUAGGUUUUAAUUAAUAUAACUUAGUAUUUAAAUUUAUUUGGCCAUCGAUUUUCUCACCACCCCUCGAUUCGAUUCAAUCUAUCUUUUAUAUAUAUAUAUAUAUCUCCUAUCUCUCUUUAUAUGAUUUUUCCUGUAUAAAUCAUUUUAAGUUUAUUAGUUUUUUCUAAAAAAACUUCUACUAGGAUUCUUCAUCUAAAAAUUUUAUUUUUUUCUUUCACAAUAUAUAAAAUUAAUAAUUUAUUUAUUUAUGAUAUAGUUGUUGUUCUCGUGUAUUCAUAUCCCUUAUUGCUUCUUCUCGAAAAAAAAAAAAACCAUAUUAAUUUUUGCGUUUGAAAAACAUUUUUUUAAAAAUUUAAAUUUAAAUUUUUUUUUUUUUAAUUUUAAAUUAAUAUUUUUUUAGUAUUUUAAAUCAUUUUGAUGUGCUGAUUUCAAAAAUAAUUUUUUUAAAAUAAAAAAAAAUAUAUUUUAAUAUAUUUUAAAAAAUAACCACAACUAUAAUCUUAAACCAUUCUUUUAAAGCUUAAUUGAAAACAAAAAAGCUGGCUCAUAUUACAGCUACGUACGAGCAACCUCUCGUAUUCCAUGUUGCUAGAAUAAUUUAUAUGUUCGAAGAAAAAACACAAUUACUUUGAUCUAGGAGGUAAAAUAUAUUUUCAAUAUACUUGAAAUAUGGAAUAGAAUAAAAAUAAAAUAAAAUAAUGGCCAACCUUUUCGUGCUAUGAGCAGCACGUGUAGAUUGUCUCUCUGGGUAUUUUCUGUUCUUUCUCCUAUAUAUGUGGGCCUAGUGAUAUAUCUUUCACCGUCGACAGGGGAGAAAACUACAGAAGGUUCCGUGAAGUAUGGAUCUGGUGGCGAGUAAUUACUGUCAUGUUAAAAUCGAUGGUGAAAAAAUGACCACGUGGCGUUUCAUAACUGGGGAUUUCUGUUUCCGUACUCCAGCAACGGAGACAUCCGCUGCCAAUCAAGUCAGAAAUGUUUUUAAUGACAAAAAUACCCUCCCCCCUUCUUAGUUUUCAAGCCUAUCCCUCUCACGAGCCGUCUUUUGCCAAAUUAGGAGGCACGCCGUCGCGUCUUGGGUGCCAGAACCAGACUAGUCAUGGAGGAGGUUAGGUUCAAAUUUAAGACCUAUGAUAUGGUUGGACGAUAAGAGACAAGAACCGAUCAAGUUCAUUGCCUUAUCUGUAAAAUGGAGACUGCUAUUAUAAUUGAUUAGUGAUGUGAAAUGACCUUGAAUACUUGUAUGAUGUAUCCAUGUCACUUGGUGUAAGCAAAUUUUGUAAAUUGGCCACCAAUUUUUGCUUUGGAUUGCAUGAUUAUCAUGUGAAAUGUUUACAUCAUAAGAUGGGACCAUUAAUUAUUUUUUUAUCUAUGUAUUAUAUAUUUAUUAUUGAUUUUUUGGGUUAGAUCUAAUUCGUUCAUAAAAAAUAUACCUAAUCAAAAUAUAUAAAGAAAUUAAAAAAUAGUUAUAACUGCUUCACACCGUAACUAAAAGAAGUAAUUGAUUGUUCAAUCUUGUUGUAAAAAUAAUUGCUCUUUCCAUUUUUUUUUAAUAUUUGUAUUUCUACAUUAAUUUGACAAUAUUUAAAAGGAUGUUUGUAUUAUGAAAUAUAUUUUUAGUUUCAAUAAUUAAAACAAUACUGAGGUAAUUAAUCUUGUAACAAGAAAUAAAUUCUUAAAUUUUCGGUAAGUUUUCUUUAAUACUUCAUUUAUUAAUCUAUUUCAUAUAUAUAGUAUACUAAGUUUAUAUUACGUUGGAUAGCUAAGGAUUCAUGUGGUGUUGUUUUUUCUUGCGUUGAUCAAGACUCUGUUUUCUAAACUUUUGCUUCUAUUAUUUAUUUAUCUAUUGAAAAGCAUGUAAAAUAAUGAUUUUCUAUUCAAAAAGCAGAAACAAUAGCUUGAAGAAACAGGCUCUAAGAUUGCUUCAUUGUUCUGCCUAUACAAAAAAAGAGAGUGUGUGUGUGUAUAUAUAUAUAAAACUAACGUGGGUUUAACAAUAGUACGUGUAAUUGCUAAAUAAUUAAUUCUUCUUAAUUUAAGAGGGUUUUUUCUAUGUUGUUUUAUAAAAAUUUGUUUGAAUUAAUGUUUAAUAGUAGAGGUUGUUUGGGAACAUAUUUGAAACCAUAUUUUUUAAAAAUUUAAAUUUUUUUUGAUUGUUUUGAUAUAAUAAUAUAAAAAAAUAUUUAAAACAUAAAAAAAUAUUAUUUAAUAUAAUUUUAAAUAAAAAUUACUUUAAAAAAUAAUCGUUAUCCUUUCUAAAUGCAACAUGUAAAGGGAAAUCCAAAAUUUUAUUUGGAUUCUUCACUAUAUUUGGAUGGUGGAGCUUGACUUUCUGUUUCUAAAUAACAUAAAUUUCCUUCAAAAACAUUUCAAUGCAGAUUUAUUUUUUUAUCUUUCAAUUAAAAAUAUUUUUAACUAUUUAUAUUUAUGUUUUCUAUUAUAAAACACUGGCAAAUUAUAAUUUGAUGGAUACACGGUGAAGCAGAUUUGCUAGUUGCCUCUUGCAGGAAAGGAAGUAAAAGCGAAGCCCAGCUAAAAGGGAGGAGAGACUACUGUGGGUUUAGAUGCUGAGAAAGAGGACAAUAUGGUAAUCUGAUAGCAUCUGUGACAGAUCUGCUAACCGACAAGCAAGGAGGUCGGCAUUGUCGGCCGGUGAACUUGGGAGAAGACAUUAAUAAGCGGCGAAAAUGCCCAAACCCCCCAUUUCCCCUUCCCCCAUUUCAAAAAACAAAUAAACUAACUUUUAUUUAAUUCAUCUUAUAAACAAAUCAACUACUUGGAUUCUUAACUGUAUUACAGUAACAGUUACUAUUUUUAUCUAUGUAUUUCUUAGCAGUGCGUUACGUUCCAUUACAUUAUUAUUUAUUUAUUCCUUUGCCAUAGACACCCACUUGAACCAAAAUAUAAAAAUAAAAAAAGUCCCCUUAUUUUCUUCCUCCUCUCUUCAAAACGCAACCGAUUUGAGCUCCAGCUCUAACGAGAUGGGACUGUACAGAUCAUCAUAAUAUAAACCUUACCCACAAUCCUCUCUUUCGUAACUUUUUUUUUCCUGUUUGUAAAUGCUCUCCUAUAGAGCCUCCCUGACCCGCCCCGAUUAUCCCGGCAAGGUUUUUCUUAUCCUCUAUUUUUUAACGAAACCCUAAUUUUUAGCAGUUGGUUUGUUAUUACUAUUUUCCCUCUUGAAAAAUAAUAAUUACAAAUGGUUUUUCUGUUUUUGGAGCGUUUCUGUUUUGUGCAUCCGUGGUCAAAUCGUGUUUUAUAAAGUUAUUUUGUGGUUUGUUAUGAUUGGUUGGCUGUGUGUUUUCUUUUUUUAGGAAAAUGAAAUGAUAUUAUGACGCUCGUUUCUGUGUUGCUUUUCCUGGUAAAAGGAUUUCCAAGUCAUUUUCGAAAUCAAUCUUUAAGAAAAAUAUUUCGAUUCUGAUUUCAUUUAGUAUCAGGCAAGGUCUUUUCUUUCUCUCUCUAUGCAAUGUCUAAAUCUAUUCGUGUUUGUUGUUUUUAAAUUAUUUUCCUUUGCUUUGUGAUCUUUUUAUUUUUAUGUUUUUGUGUUCUUGAGGUUUGAUAAAGUGUCUUAAUCAAAUGAUGUUCUUGUUUCUUUUUUCCUCACAGAAUGAUGCUACAUGUGUCAAUUCAUGUUUGAGGAUGUUAUUAUAAUUAUUUAAUAUUUGUUUCCUCCUUUUUUUUGGAAAAAAAUUUGAAUGAUCUCUUAUCUUAUUUUCUUAAUUCGUUUCUGGUGGCUGAGGUGUUUUGAGUUUAGAAGAGAGUUUAUUCGAAUGGGUGGGUUUUCUAAUUCGUGCUAUCAUUUUAAUGGUCUUCAAGUCAGUUUUUUUUGGAUUUUCUUAUCCAAGAAAACGCGAGUGUGAAUUUUGGCUUCUAAUUCUAUUUAAUGAUGCCAAAUUGUGUUUGUUUGAUUUGGAAACCACAUAGGAGGGUUUGUUUUGCCUUACUAAUGUGUUUUGUUCUUCUUUCAGCUGAUAUAAAUUUGUAUUGUAAUUCUUCACGGUGAAUGUGAAUUAUGGAUAUUACUGAGGUUGAAGAAAAUUUGUUUGCAGCAAGCGAUGCCAAGGUAUUGAUUUUUAUUUCUUAAGAAAAAUCUUGGAUUCGGUGUUUUUGUGUGCUAUUCUUAAGGAACCCCCCGAUUCCAUCUGGGCUGAGCAGCCUACUUAUUUGUUUCUCUAUUUUUACGAUUCUGCUCGUUUCCUGAUGUAUACGGAAAAUGCAAUGCCUGCUUUUAAAUUUUGGCACUUGCUGUUUAUGGUGAUUGCCUAGUAGACUUGGGUUUGAUUGUGUUGAAUGUGCUUCUGUUUUGUUCGCUUCUGGUGCUUGCUGUUUUCUCUCUUUGUGCCAGAAGUUAUUCCAUUUAGGCUGACAUAUUUUUUCUGUUCAUCUGGGGGGAGUCUUAUUUACAAUAUAGUUAUUUCUAAUGUUCACAUUGUUACCCUUUUGUUAGCCCAUGAAAACACUUUUUCUCUAAGGUCUUCAAUGAACUUUAACUUAAUUGACAAUAUUUCUACCUGUAUUCAGCUGCAUGGAGAAAUGUGCAAGGAACUCUCUGUAAUUUAUUGCAAAAUCCUGUCCAUUUUCCCUUCAUUGGAAGCUGCAAGACCUAGGAGUAAAUCUGGCAUUCAAGCAUUAUGUUCGAUGCAUAUAGCCCUUGAGAAAGCCAAGAAUGUUCUCCGGCAUUGCUCAGAAUGUAGUAAGCUUUACUUGGUAAGAUAAUCCUUUUUUUAUAGAUGCACUAAAAUUUGCUUUUCUUUUUCUGUUUUUAUGUAUUGUUUUCUGUGAUAUUAGUUUUCCGAUGGAAUUGCAUUUCUGACACAGGCUAUAACUGGAGAUUCUGUCCUUUUAAAAUUUGAAAAGGCAAGAUCUGCUCUUGUAGAUAGUCUUAGGCGUGUUGAAGAUAUUGUUCCACAAUCAAUUGGAUGCGAGGUAGUAAUUUCCCUUCUGAACUCUAUUUCUUGAUGGUCAAUUUGAAAAUGAUAUCAGUCAUAAAUUGGGUUGUCUAAACAAAGUGAACUUAGAAAUGAUGUAUCAAAAUUUUGAGUAUUCAUGUCCUUGCUGUAUAUCAACAAGAAUUCUAUCAUUUCUAUAUGUUAAUAUUUCAUCUCCAAUGGUUUCAUCAACAUCAUGUCAUUUACGUUGAAUCAACCACAAUGUUGUCCUGGAAUUGUUUUGUGGUCCUUUUCUAGCCCUGUUCCUUGUGCCUGUAUUAUUUAGAAACACCUUUUGAUCCCCUUUGUAAUUUGAAAUCUUGUCAGAUUUUGGAGAUUGUAAGUGAACUCGAGGGUACUGAAUUCUCUCUUGAUCCGUUAGAGAAGCAGGUUGGUGAUGAGAUGAUUGUAUUGCUUCAGCAGGGGAGAAAAUUCGACAACUGUAAUGACACUAACGAGCUAGAAUCAUUUCAUGAGGCUGCUACUAAACUUGGUAUUACCUCUUCUAGAGCAGCUCUUACAGAGAGAAGAGCUCUUAAGAAACUUAUAGAAAGAGCUCGUGUGGAGGAAGACAAGCGGAAGGAAUCAAUUGUUGCUUAUCUCUUACAUCUCAUGAGGAAAUAUUCCAAGCUAUUUAGAAGUGACCUUACAGAUGACAAUGAUUCACAGGGUUCAGCACCUUGUUCACCCACUGUUGAGGGUUCUUUUGAAGAUGGAGGCCCUGGUGGUGAUGGCCAUGCCUUUGAGCGACAUUUAUCAAAGCUUAGUUCAUUAAACUUCAAGCCAAACUUUAGUAAAUCUGGGCAAAUGCCUCUUCCACCUGAAGAAUUGAGGUGUCCUAUAUCAUUGCACCUGAUGUAUGAUCCAGUCAUCAUUGCUUCUGGACAAACGUAUGAAAGGAUCUGCAUUGAGAAAUGGUUCAGUGAUGGGCAUGACACCUGUCCAAAGACUCAACAAAAGCUUUCUCAUCUCUCCUUGACUCCUAAUUAUUGUGUCAAGGGUCUUGUUGCUAGUUGGUGCGAACAGAAUGGAGUCCCAGCACCUGAUGGUCCUCCAGAGUCUCUUGACCUCAACUAUUGGAGGCUGGCAAUGUCUGAGCUUGACUCUGCAAAUUCAAGAUCUGUGGAGAUUGUCAGUUCUGGUAAGUUGAAAGGGGUCAAGGUAAUUCCUUUGGAGGGGAGUGGUCUCAUUGAGGAGGCUGAAGAAACUGAAACUGAAAAUUUAUCACCGCAACAGGAAGAUUCUGUUCCAGAAGAUGACUUUGAGGAUAAUGUAUUUGACAGAUAUCAGAAUUUUCUGACCAUCUUGAAUAGUGACGAAGACUUGAAGAAAAAAUGCAAAAUAGUAGAACAAGUGAGGCUUCUUUUGAAGGAUGAUGAGGAGGCCAGGAUUUUUAUGGGGGCCAAUGGGUUUGUUGAAGCACUAUUGCAGUUUCUAGAGUCAGCUGUGCAUGCUAGGAAUCCAAUGGCCGAGGAAAUUGGAGCAAUGGCUCUUUUCAACCUUGGCGUCAACAAUAACAGGUGUGUGAAGUCACUAAAUAUCAAAUUAACACGGAGUAGUUGUAGUAGUAGUACUAUGAUAUGCUUAAUUAGGUAUUAGAAUCAUUAUUAAAACAAGAGGUGUUAGUAAUAAUUGAGUGACACAUGCUUUUUAUUACUGGAACCAUUGUGGAUCUUCUUGUUGACGGAGAAAAUUCUGCUAGAGAUAAGGAGUUAGGUUCUUGAUUCAUUUUCCAUAGAUCUAUGAAGUGCGAAGAUGUGCCAUGAAUUUCAGUGUAAUUGAUCUCCUUUUCUGUUACUCUGUUCCAGAAAUAAGGAAAUGAUGUUGGCUUCUGGUGUUAUCUCAUUGUUGGAGGAUAUGAUUUCCAACUCUGACACUGAUGGAUCAGCAACAGCUCUCUAUCUAAAUCUCUCCUGCCUUGAAGAAGCGAAGUCCAUCAUUGGUUCAAGUCAUGCUGUGCCUUUUUUAGUCCAAAUCCUUCAAGGUGAAACUGGAGCGCAAUGCAAGCUUGAUGCCCUUCAUGCCCUCUAUAAUCUCUCCUCCCACCCCACCAAUAUUCCGAAUCUCCUUUCAGCUGGCAUCAUCAGUGGCCUCCAAUCCCUUCUUGCAGUCCCUGGUGAUCAUGCAUGGAUAGAAAAAUCUAUAGCAGUGCUGAUAAAUUUAGCUUGUAGUCAAUCAGCAAAAGAUGAAAUGCUGUCUGCCUCUGGCCUUAUUAGCGGCCUAGCGACUAUAUUAGACACUGGCGAACCCAUAGAGCAGGAGCAGGCUGUUGCUUGCCUUUACAUUUUGUGCAAUGGGAGUGAGAAGGGCAGUCAAUUGGUCCUACAAGAAGGAGUUAUACCUGCGCUGGUCUCAAUCUCGGUGAAUGGGACCACAAGAGGGAAAGAGAAAGCGCAGAAACUUCUGAUGCUGUUUCGGGAGCAGCGGCAGCGAGAUCAACCAUCUGCUGAGGUGUGCUUUCAGCAAGAUCAACCAUCUGCUGAGGUGCGCUUUCAGCGAAUUGAAAGUAGUUCCAUGUCCAUGCCUGCUCCUGAAACAAAGCCGCUAUGCAAAUCUGUCUCAAGAAGAAAGAUGGGGAAAGCUAUAAGCGUUUUUUGGAAGAGCAAGAGCUACUCAGUUUACCAGUGUUAAGUUGGUUUUGUAAAUUUCUUCUGUGUCCUUUUCCUUUCUUCUGUCUUGGGGGCAUUAUUUGUUUUUCUUUUCAUAGGGAAGAAGAGAUGUACAGGCCCUUGUAAGCAUGGAUUUUGUUCUUUUCUUUGCCUUCCUCUUCAGGUAGGAAUGCAUGUACCAUAUAUGCAAAUUAUAAUGGAAGCCUUAGUAGAUUAGCCUUAUAGUAAAACAACUUUGUGGCUUCUUCAUGCCCCUAAUUUUUUAAAGGCUAAAAUCCCACAUCACCACCAAUUAUCUAAUAUUAUAGAACGUGGAAGAAGUUGCUGCAACUAGGGUUUUUUAGGGCCUUCUGUUUAUAAAAAAAAUAUUAAUUAAAACACAAAAAUAAAUAUUUCUUUAAUCCUUGUGUCCGAGCCCAGAGUAGUCCUCAUGGACGAGCUUUCAUUUAAACAAGAAUUCACACCAGAGUCAAAAUCUAAAAGAAAUCAAUGGUGGAUUCUUCGAUAUCAGGGUUCAAGAAUUUAAUGUAAUGAUAAAUUUUUAUUGCGUUAUUAACUAUUUUCAAAAGAUUACGUCAACAAGCCCGUCUAGCUCAGUUGGUAGAGCGCAAGGCUCUUAACCUUGUGGUCGUGGGUUCGAGCCCCACGGUGGGCGAUUUAAUUUCUGACUGUUUUAUAUAAUUUUUCACUUUCGAGCAGCCCUGUGACUGCAGUAUCAAAAACUUCAUGGGUUUUUCUUCAACCUCUACAGGAGCGGCUUCCACUUCCAUUAUCAACAACAGUUUGUUGGUUUUCAGUACAUACAAACUCCCAAACAAGUUUGAUUCCUUUAAACGUGUCAGUAAUCUGCUGAUCCUUUCUGAUUGUUAUUUUGUGAUGGUAAAUCUCCAGAUCUAUAACACAUCUAUAACUGACACGCAGAUAAAAUCUUUCUUUACGUUUCUUUAUCUCCAAGUAUUUUUAUUUAGGUAAACCCAAAUAACCAAACAAAUUUUUUAUAAUAAUCAAAACAGAGUUUUAUACAACAUUAUAACAUAAUUAAUUUCAUAAUAUAAAUUGAUUGUUUUAAUAUAAUUUCAGUAUUGUGUGGAGUAAUAACUAAGAAUAAUAAUAAAAAAAUACUAAUUACAAUUAAAAAAACACAGAUUAUAAAAAUCCAAUAAAAAUGACCUACUAACAAAAUUAUAAACCUAAAAAAAAAAAAUUAACAAGAAGGUGAGUUCAAUAACUCAGUGAGUAGAUAACAUUUAAUACACACGAUAUAAUAUGACAAGUAAAAUAAAUCUAAAAAAAAUAAUCAAAAUAAAAUAAAAAAAAAAGUAAAGUCAAUUUAAUAUACUUAAUUUAAGGUUUAAUUGAUAACCCUAUAUAUUUAGGAAUCAAAUCGGUUCUUUUUUCAAAAACCCAUAAAUUAAACGAUUUCUAAAAUUCUAAUUCAAAAGAAAAAAAACUAUAAAAUUUGAUAAUAUUUCACCAAAAAAAACCUCAAUUACUAUUCACAAUCCAUUUGCAAAACUAAAAUUACUCUUCCCAAAAAUUGUAAUUUUGCAAAAUUUGGAAGACCAAACUAAAAAAUAUCAUAAAUUCAUAACUAUACUGAAAUCUUACCCAUAAUUCAUUCUCAAUUAUAUCCAGAAUCUCCAAUUAUGCUUCGGGGACCGAUUUGCAAUUCCUUUCAAAGUUUGAAAACUAAACUAUAACUUUCAUAAAUGAUGGAUCAAAUUGAAAUUUCACCAUCCUCAACCUCAAGACACUUCUAUCUAGUAUUUCCAGCAAGGGUUUUUUCAUAAUUUCUUACACCAAAUACAUCAAUUAAACCAAUUAAUUUCAAAAUCAUUAUUCUUAACAAAAUCAUCUAAAAACCAACCAAUUAAACCAUUAUUCAUAACAAUUAAUCCAUAACAUUUCAAUCAACUUAUCAAUCUAACUCAAAACAUAAACUUUAAAACUCUAAAUCUUAACAAAUUUAAAAUCUUAAUUAAUACCAAUAAUUAUACACAUCAAAGCAUAAAUCUUUCCCAUUAAACUUAUUUUCUCCAAUUCUUUUCCCUUUUCUCUUCUUCUUUUUUAGUCUCGGUUUUCUCUUUUCAAAUUUGAUUCUUCUUGUUUUUUUUUUCCUAUUUAUAUUUACCAAUUUUUAGGAAAAUUACCAAAGUGACCUUCAAUCAUUUAUGCCUAAAACUUACUCUUAUAAAGGUAUUGUUGUCAUUUCCUUAUUAAAACCUUUCCUUUCCUUUCCUUUUCAAAAUAUUACAAUCUCUCCAUUUUAUAAAAGUUUUGUCCGCAAAACUUGAUAAACAUAACUAAAAACUCAUAAUGAGCAUACUAAGUUCUAAAGGUUGUCCUUGGAAUGCCUUCCUCCCUUAUCCUCAACUGAUGAUAUCUAGAUUCAAGAUUGAUCUUAGAAAAGAAUUAAGCUCCUUAUAAUUGUUCAAACAAAUAAUUUAUGUGAGGAAAUGGAUAUCUACUCUAAACUAUCACCCGAUUCACUUGCCUGUAAACUUUACACAAUCUUAAUGACCCAUCAUUCUUCUUGACAAACAAUUCCGGGGCUCCCCAAAAAGACACACUCAACUGAAUAAACUUUGUGUCCAUCAAAUCUUGCAGUUGUUUCUCUAGCUCCCUCAACUUUGCUAGCAUCAUUCUAUAUGGUGCCAUUGAUAUUAGUUUACCACCCAGAACCAAAUCAAUGCAAAACUCAAUCUUCCUAUACAAAGACAAUCCAGGUAAGUCAUUGGAAAAGUCAUCAAUAAACUCCAUAACUGUAGGGACUUGAUCUAACUGAGAAAUUUUCUUUUCUAUAUCCACUAUAUAUGCUAAGUAACACUGUACCUCUUUUCCACGCCAUUCAUCUUGAGAUGAACGAUAGCAUAAUUGAUGAAGAUAUAAUCUUAUCUAUCUGAAAUACUAACUCAACUUUUUCAUCUAGAUAAAAAAACUAUUUUCUUACCAGAACAAUUCACUAAAGAUCUAUCCUUUAACAACUAAUCUAUCCCUAAAAUUACAUCAAAAUAAAUAGUAUCUAAUACAUUUAAGUCCCAAUUUAAUACCACAAUCCGAAUACACAAACUCCACUAAUACUGAUUUAUAUAGGGAGUAGAUACUACAAUAAAAGAUUCUAAUAGAAUUGGUUGCCUAUUUAAUAUUAUAACAAAAUACAGGAAUAUAAACGAAUGAGUUGCACCUGUGUCAAAUAAAAAUUUUGCUUUAAAAGAGCAAACAUUAAGAUAACUGAAACAACCAUGUUGGAUGCCUGAGCAUCCUGCCGAGUCAAGGAAAAGACUUUGGCAUACUCCUGACCUUAUUAUGUUUAGCCUCUAUCACCUACACUCCAGCCUUUCUAACCUCGGCCAUCAAAACCUCUUCCACCAUGAGCCACAUAUUGUCCCAUUUAUAGUACCUGAAUAAGAGGUUUAAUUGAAGCAAAUGCUUCUAAAGCUGACAACUAUCUCCUGGAACACUCCCAAAUCUUAUAACCUAUCUGGCCAUAACCGAAAUAAGCCUCAAUCCUUUUUUAGCACUCUACACUAGUAUGACUUUCUCCACAAUGCUGAUAUGAAAAACCAUCCCCAUAUGGAACAAAAAAGUUACAAAGUGUAGUCUGAUCUGAAUAUUGACUAUUGAGCAUCUCUACCACCGCUUUGACUGCUUAAGCCACUGGCUGAAGAAAUCCGUCUAAACCUCCUCGGAACCCAUGAGUCCUGAUGACCACUCCAUUCCCUAGAAGGACUUGUAUUCGGUCCCUGCUGUCUAAAAGCGUGACCUUUUUCCCUGGACCUCUUAGAUUGACUUGCAACCAUAUCCUCUAAUUCUCGUGCCUCAAUCAACCUGGCCUUAUCAACAGCUGAUGAGUAAGAUGAAAACAUCUGAGACACCAUCACCAUAUAUAUCGAGGAUUUGAGUCCUCGAAUGAACCUCUUCACCCGCCACUCCUCAGUAGGUAGAAGAUGUUCAGCAUACCUUGAUAACUGAGUAAACUUUAGAUCAUACUCAUCCACUGUCAUGCUCCCCUGAGAUAGCCUCUCAAACUCAUAGAGUUUAGCAUCCCUAACACUCUGAGGAAGAAAUCUAUCCAAGAAUAUAGUGCUAAAUUCCUUCCAUGUCCACUUAGCCUCCGUUGACCUCUCUCUCUCUCUAGACUCAAACCAAGAGAUGGCCAUAUCUCCCUCUAACCUGAAUGAUGCCAGACUCACAGCGCGAUGCUCUGUACACCCCAAAGCUUCACACCGUCGCCAUAUAUUAUCUAGGAACCUCUGAGGAUCCUCUGAGUUGUCCAUUCCAGUAAAGAUAGGAGGUGCUAACUCCAUAAAGUCAUUCAAUGAAACAUCGACUCCUUGAACAAUGUGGGAUGAUGAUGGUACAUCUCUAUCCCUUCUCCGAUCUCUUUCCAUACUAAACUCCAUCCAAGUCCGUAUAGCCUUACUAAGCUGCUGAAAUUCUGUAACAAACUCAGGGUUAGCUACCCUUACACCUGUUUCACCAACAGUAUUUUCCACUUUUAACUCUCGAGAUUCCUCCUUUACUGGUGGAUGUAUCUCCUCAACAUAUCGAGGUGCGGGUGCACCGCCCCUCCUUCUCUGCCUUGUAGUCCUCGACUGCACAAUAGUGACAUCGUCUUUAUCGUCACCUACUUUACCAGUACCAGCUAUUUGUCUAUUUCUCGACAUUUC